AUCAAGGAGAAGCUCCCCGGUGGCCACGGUGACCAGCAGCACACCGGUGGCACCUACAGACAGCAGGGUACUGGCAUGGUCGGCACCGGCGGCACCUACGGGCAGAAGGGUCACACUGGGAUGACCGGCACCGGCGGCACCUACGGGCAGCAGGGUCACACUGGGAUGACCGGCACCGGCGGCACCUACGGGCAGCAGGGCCACACUGGGAUGACCGGCACCGGCGGCACCUACGGACAGCAAGGCCACACCGGGAUGGCCGGCACCGGGGCGCAUGGCACCACGGCCACUGGUGGCACCUACGGGCAGCCGGGCCACACCGGGAUGACAGGCACGGGGGCGCACGGCACCGGAGGCACCUACGGGCAGCACGGCACUGACACCGGCGAGAAGAAGGGCAUCAUGGACAAGAUCAAGGAGAAGCUCCCAGGCCAGCACUGAGCGCUGAGGAGAGCCCGCGGCCGCCACUUCUGAGAGUGGAGGUGCCGGUCGACCACCGUUGCAGAAUCAAUAAUAAGAUCGCGAUACGAUACAAUAAAAUUCCACCAUACAACGUGAGCCUAGUUCACCUAGCUCACUUGCGUGUUGGAGGAGCCACUGUAUCUAGGCUCAAGUUUACGUGAACAAACAGUGUUUUGAGUUUUUCGUCUGUUUAUUACACUGUAUAAUCUUGUAAGUUUCCUGUGGUUAAACCCUGUAUGUACGCUUUACGGUAUGGUCCUCGCGUACAGGUUAGUUCUUUAUCAAAUAAAUAAUACCGUCUUAAGAGUAGCUUAAGAGCGUCAUAUGUCUUUUCUUUUUCAAGGAAAGCCCCAUGGCGCACUUCAUUUAUUAUUAAAAAGGACUACAUCAUUGAAAACAUCACUUCUAAUAAAACUCGGGAGUAUCACCCUCCCAAAAACUAUGAAUUUGAAUCAAAAGCAUAUCUAGCAAUCUUGUGCGCCACCCCAUUAGCUUCCGUAGAACAAUGAAUAACCUUGAUAGAGCCAUGCACUUGGAAUUUGUGGAAACAUUCCAUCAGUAUAGCAGCAUAUGGACCUAGCACCUCUGUCUCACCAUUACAUACUUCAGCAAUCACCAGGCCGGUGGUUUCAAUUUUCCCCUUUUCAUUUUCGUUUUAUGAACUUCUUUCAAAUUCUCGAAUACUUGCUGAAAUCAUGAGCAUUUUUGCAAUUCAUGAAUAUAUUUUAAAAUCAUGAACAUUUUUUGAAAUAAUAAACAUUUUUCGAACACCGGACAUUUUUUUAUGAAGUCCCGAGCUUUUUCUGAAAUUGUGAAAUUAUUUAGAGUAUGCAAACAUUUUUAGGAAGUUUUCGAAUCGACGAACAGUUUUCUGAGCCGGCAAUCAUUUUUCAAAAUUUUGGUAAAAAAAUAAAUUCAUGAAUAUUGUUUUGUUUAUAUGAACAUUUUUAGAAAAUGCAUGAACAGCUUUUGAAUUCAUGAACAUUUUUUGACUCAGCGAGCAUAAUCGAUGAACCUUUUUGAAAUUGGGGAGCAAAAUUAGAAAUCAUGAUUUUAUUGAAUUUUGUUUUCUGUAUGUAACAAAAAAAAUAUAAAUUCUCCAACAUGUUCCAAAUAUGCAAUCGUUAUUUUAAAAUUAUGAAUAUAUUUUUAUUUCCUGAAUAUUUUUGUGAAAUCAUGAUUUUUUUUAUAAUAUCCAACAGUUUUAUAAAAUCACCAGAUUUUUUUGAAUUCGUGAAUAUUUUACAUUUUUCUGAGCUUUUUUGAAUUCACGAACAUUUUGUUUCGAAACUCGCAACUUUUUAAAAUUUGACAACCCCCAAUAAUUUUAAUGAAGGAAAAACAGAAACAAAAUUGAGAAAAUGAAAGGUAAGAAAACAAGCGCUUCCUAUUCAGAGAGAAAAAGGGAGAGAAUAAGGAAUGAAACUAGGAUCGAACUCCUGUCUCCAGGAUAGAAGAGUGAGCCUUAGCUACUGUGGUGCUUAUGCGCUUGUGAUAUUUAAGGAUAUCAUCGUAUAAGGGUGUGUCUGGUUGAGGAACAAACUGUCACGGAAUGAAAUGGUUCCAUUCCAGAGGAACGGGUCGGUUUCGUUCCUGUAUUUGGUAGGUGCAAAAAAGUAGAACGGGUUGGUUCCGUUUCAGUGUUUGGUUUGAAAGAAUGGAAUGAAAAAUAGAAUAACAGAAAUUCAAAAUUUUGGCAGCAUUUCAUUUGUAUUUUCAAAAAAAACAACAUAACAAUAUAUAUUGACAUAGAACUCAAUUUUCAGCAAUGAAGUAGCAAGUUCAUUUGGUACAUCCAGAAGCAAUCAGCCAUUACAUGUCUUUAACAUACAAAUAACCAAAGCAAAGUGCACUACAGCCAUACACCAUUACAUAGCAGCACAUAUUGAAAUAAAAAUUGGGUAACCAUGGAUCUGCGUACUACACAGAAGCACAUAUAUAUGAAACAAAUUGAGGAGGAACAUGGCACACAGGAAAUAAAAUCUGCCCAAACAUGAACAUAUACAGAGAUAUGCAAAGGGGUAGUGGAAACUGCACCUUGCCUCCGCUGCUAGCUGCUGAUCUAGACCUUCUGCAGCACCUCCGGUCGCCCCUACGUGGUAGCCGCCCCGCUGCUUCGUCGCUGCUCCUAGGAUCUGGAUCGUGGCCGAUCUGAUUUGUCGUUGCUGCUUGCUAGGUCGCCGCCAUGAUGCAGAUGCGCGUCAUCACAGAGGAGACGACGGGAGGAAGGUGAAGCCGGGCCGGGGAGGGAUGGAGAAGGCAGAUCGAGAGGGGGGAGAAGCGGGAGGGUGGCGGUGCUAGUCGAGGAGCAGCGAGAGAGGGGGAGAUGCGGGAGCAGCGAGAGGAAAGCGAUAGGGUACGGGUGCGGGGCGAGGGGCUCGUUCCCUGUCGUCCGGCCGAUUUCGAGGUAUGCCUCGGUUCGGCAUAAUGAGCGAAUAUUCCCUUUCCUGGGACGAGUGGGUUCUGAAUUGUUCGACUUACUAAACGCUGGAAUGGGCCGUGGGAAUGGGUCGGACCCAUGACGUUCUACCCGGUGACAACAACCAAACACACCCUAAGAACCAAAGCUGACAACGACUUUGAAAGAAAAAAAAUUGAAUCGUUUUCUUCACUUAUAGUUGAUAUAGUUAGUAAUUUAUGGCUGUUUUGGGGGUAAUUUUAGGGUGGACGGGCGAAACUCCGUCUUAGAUACAGUUGUAGAAAUACAUGAGUAAAGAGAAUAUAAAUGUUAUGAAUUUAGUUCAAAUAGAAAUGGUUGAAGACUAAUACUAGGCUUUUGCUCUAUGAUUACAUUUGAAGUCAUUUCAAGUACUGACAUGUUCACCACUAAGGGCAUCACCAAAGCGGACCCACAAAUCGCUUGCAAUUGUCUGGACUGCUCGGUCCGGGCGUGUUUUGCAUGCAACACGGGUCUAUACCGGUCUGUCGAGUGGUUCGAACAUAUUUUUUCCCGUAAAUCAGAGACGAACUGGGGGCGGGGCCGGGAGUCCAGACAACACCCAUGUAGGACUCUGACACCCCCGGCCACCCAAAACCCCACCAAAACCACUCCCGACCCCGUGCCUUCAUCCUCCCAUUUUCUCUCCCUCUGUUUUUCUCUCUUGCCUUCACCGCCGCUCCAUCAUGCAAGCAUGUGUUGCAGUUGUUCGUGGACCUACUAAACAAUGGAUCCGAAGGCCUUGUGAGAGAUGAUGACCUGUUGUGUAAUCAUCCACAAAAUGAUCAUGGAGGAUGAUGGUGAGGAUGUUGUCGUAGUUCUUGAAUUUAAGAACAUGGGUGAUCCUAUCAAACUUACAGACCAGAAUUUGUCCACAUUUGAAGAGUUUGUUGAAAUGCAUCAACAAAUUCGUCAUCGAGAAACUCACUAGCAACUGAAGUAAGAUAUGAUUAAGCAUAUUGAGCAGUUAAAGGGGACAACGAUGUUGGGUGUAAUAAUUGAACUAUUUUAAAUUAGAACUACUACUCAUUUGAACAUUUGAACUAUUCUAGACUAAAUAUAUGGCUAUUUGAGCGUGCGAACUUAAAAGAAAUUGGGCCCGGAUGUAUGCGGAUAGUGUGUUAAAUGAUCGGCUCCUGCAUCCGUGUUCACGGACUAAUCCCUGAUCACGGACGGACGCGGGAGAAAAUUUGCGAGUCAGCAUUGGAGAUGCCCUAUUAUGGCUUUGCUAUCAUCAUAUCAUCAUCAUCAUCAUUAUUAAUACUUGUACUACUACUGUUACUAUUAUUAUUAUGGAAUUUGUGGGACUAAAGUUGGAUUGCGGAUUGGAGCCAUCUUGCUCAAUAUAUUUGUGUUUUUGUUUUGUUUCUCUUCAUUACAAAUUACAUUGUUAUGAGGGAAGGUAUAUCACCCCACUCCAUCGGUCCAGCCAGUCUAACUUUAUAUCAGUAGGAUGCCUUUCCAGAGAUAGGUACCCUUGUGAUUUUCAGCUCUUACGUAUUUAUUCUACUAGAUGAUACCACACGUGUUGUUGUGGUAUUUUUUUAAAUGAAAUGCACAAUUAGGUGCUACAUAAAUAACUAAAACUAACAAAAACAAAAUUUAAAAGUAUUUUUGAUAUACACUUUAAAAACAUUAAAAAUUAUGAAGCAUAUAACAAAAGCAUAUGUCAAAGAGGAAAAAAAUAGAUUGCAACUAAAAGAGUGUCAUUCUGAAAUAAUCUAAAAUAUCUACUACAUAGGUAUGCUCCAAGCGCCCAACACAUAUAUCGUGUCCAUGAGGGCACAAAACUUAGUGCGAGAAAAUUAAUUGAUAACUUAAAUGAAUGAACAUCAUAUGAGAGGGCAGUGCUGCAUGGACAUAGUAAUGCAAAAAAUGUAACCUAUAAGUUACAUGUAUGACUUACUGAUGUGGCAUGGUUGUAUGUAGUAAAAAUAGAUAACAUGUUGUAGUUAUUUAGCAAUAGAGAAAACGAGUGUAGUUUCUAAAAAAAAGUGAAGCAUCAACUAUAUAGGUAUGCUCCAAGCAUCCAACACAUAUACCAUGUCUAAGGAGCACAAAACAUAAUGCAAAAAAUUAACUGAUGUUCUUAUAUUGCAUGAACUGAUGAUGUGACAGUGCUGCAUGCUGGAAUUUUGUCUAUUUUGGGCCUAGCCCAAUUGCAGUUACAGAAAUUCCUAAUAAAUCCUAGAGGCCCACGCCAGCCCAUUCGUGUAAGGCAAGAGGUGGAACUAAAAUUUAGUCCCACAUUGCUAGUUUAGAGGGAGUUGGACCUCUUUAUAAUGGAGGCUCUUUCUCCACAUGUAUGAGGAUGAGAACAAGAGGGACACCCACGCCACGCCACGCCUCGUCACGUCACGACGCGUUGCGGUGCGAGUUGCGGGAAUAAGCUGAGCCGAUGUCUAAAUUUUUGCCACGCACGAUGGGUAUACGAAAGGUCACUCGGAAGCUGAAACGUUUUUGCUGUAGUGGAGAUUGAAUACGAACGGCGCACCUCUUCGCCUGCUGCCUGUUCGUUUUCGUCUCCCUCGUUCUCUUCAGCUCCCGGUGCAGCCUCUCACCUCCUUCUCUUGCGCCUAUAAAAGGGAGGUCGCUCCUCUCAGAAAGACGCAUCAGAACCUCUUCUUCCUCUCGCCACAAGUUCCUGAGCACUGUGCUGCUGCUAUGUUCUUCCCCAUCCCGACUUGCGGCGUGCACCGAAGGUCGGGACAGUAGGCCUCCAAAACCGCACCUUUUGAGUCAUGUACAGAAGAAGGGUGAUAAGGUUUUUGGGGAGCGCUUCGCACGACUAUUGACUUCUUUGUCACGGACGUCCCGAACUCCGACGACUACUUCCCCAACGACGACUUCUUCCCCGACGUCGACAACCUCCUCGACGACAUGGCUGGCGAGGACACCGACCCCAAGUCCAGCUCUUCUGCUGCUGCUGUCCCGUACGCGUUCUUCCUCUUUCUAUUAGAGGCCCUGCUACAGUUCCUUGUUCUAGUGUUUGCCCUAGAUAUGUUAGACUCUGUUUCAUAUAUGCAACUUGCUAUAUUGUCUACUUUAUAUGUGUUUAGUUAUAGUUCAUAUAUGAAGAUGAUGUUUACCUUCUCUUUGUCAAAUCGCAUGACCUGUUUUAUCACUGCUAUACUAGUCGUGCUUUAUCUAGUAUUUCUGUUAAUAAAAUCAUUCGGUAAAUUGCUCAUAUUUCCAACAAUCCAAAAACCUUAUUAUAGGCAAUUUACCCCGAGUGGUUUUGCUUCUUCCAUGAAACCUCCUAUGUUUGAGGGUAUCCACUAUAAGAGGUGGCGCGUGAGAUCAGUCUUAUGGUUUCAAACCAUGAGUUGCUAUGACGCCACUCUCGGCAAACCUGAAGGAGAGCUUGAUGCUCAACAGGCACAAGCUUUUCAGAAAAUGGAUACUCUGUUUAAGGCUGCUCUCUUGAGUGUUCUUGGUGAGAACAUAGUUGAUGCUUAUGCGUCAAUUGAUAAUGGAAAAGAUAUGUGGGAUGCACUCGAGGCCAAGUUUGGGGUCUCGAAUGCUGGCACUGAGUUGUACAUCAUGGAGCAAUUCUAUGAUUACAGGAUGACUGAAGAGCGCUCCAUGGUUGAGCAAGCUCAUGAGAUACAGUCAUUUGCUAGAGACUUGAGCACUUCAGUUGUAUGCUACCGGACAAGUUUGUUGCCGGAGGUAUCAUCACUAAGCUUCCUCCUUCAUGGAGGAACUUUGCUACCUUACUGAAACAUAAGAGACAUGAGUUUUCCGUCCCGGAUCUCAUUGGCACUCUUGAUGUGGAAGAAAAGGCGAGAGCAAAGGACACACGUACUCGAGGUAUUGAGGGAGAAUCUAGUGCCAAUAUGGUAUAGAAGAAGAACUUCUAGCCCCACAAGUUCACGAACAAGGGCAAGUUUGAUGGUAAAGCAAAGUUUGAUGGGAAGAACAAGGCUGUGCAACACACGAACUUCAAGAAGAAGAAUGACAAGAAGAAAGGUGUUUGUCAUGUGUGUGGGGAUCCUGAUUAUUGGGCUCCUAGUUGCCCCAAUCGCUAUGAUAAGCGUCAUCCUGGGAAAGGCGGCAAGACCGCUAAUGUUGUCAUUGGAGACACUAAAAUGAAGGAUGCUGGACCGCAGGGACUUCAACCGUGCUGAUGGGCAACAGUUCAAGUGCUUCUAUUCGUGGUGUUGGCACGGCCAAUCUGAAGUUUACUUCGGGGAAGAUCGUGCGGCUGAAGAACAUGCAUUAUGUCCCCUCCGUCAAUAAAAAUCUUGUUAGCGGAUCUCUUCUGAGUAGAGAUGGCUACAAACUUGUCUUUGAGUCGAAUAAAUUUGUAAUAUCCAAGUAUGGAACCUUUGUUGGUAGAGGCUAUGAGUCAGGAGGACUAUUUCGUUUAUCCUUAUCAGACGUUUGAAAUAAAGUUGUUAAUCAUAUUUGCAACAAUAGUGAAUCAAAUGUGUGGCAUUCACGUCUUUGUCAUGUUAACUUUGGUUGCAUGUUGCGACUAGCGAAGUUGAACUUAAUCCCUAGUUUCACCACUGUCAAGGGAUCCAAGUGUCAAGUGUUUGUGCAAGCUAAGCAACCUCGUAACUCUCAUGUGACUACGGAAACGAGAAAUCUUGCACCACUAGAACUCAUACAUUCAAAUUUAUGUGAAAUGAAUGGGUUUUGACAAAAGGUGGAAAGAAAUAUUUCAUGACGUUAAUUAACAACUCCACUAGAUACUGCCGUGUGUAUCUUCUGAAAUCUAAGGAUGAUGCUUUGAACUUUUUCAAGAUCUAUAAAGCUGAAGUGGAAAACCAACUUGAUCGGAAAAUCAAGAGGCUUAGGUCCGACCGUGGUGGAGAGUAUUUUUCCAAUGAAUUUGAUACUUUUCGUGUUGAACAUGGUAUAAUCCAUGAGAGGACGCCUCCCUAUUCACCUCAGUCAAAUGGGGUGGCCGAAAGAAAGAACCGUACUCUAACAGAUUUGGUUAACGCCAUGUUAGACACACCGGGUCUCUCCAAGGCAUGGUGGGGGGAGGCGAUAUUGAUUGCAUGUCAUGUCCUAAACUGAGUUCCCACAAAGAAUCAAGAGAUAACUCCAUUCAAGGAAUGGGAGAAGAAAAGAUUAAAAAUCUCUUAUCUACGAACCUGGGGUUGUUUGGCGAAAGUCAAUGUGGCAAUUCCAAAGAAGCGCAAGCUUGGACCAAAGACCGUGGAUUGUGUUUUCCUGGGAUAUGCUUUUCAUAGCAUUGGUUAUAGAUUCUUGGUUGUAAAAUCUAAGGUACCUGACAUGCAUGUCGGUACGAUCAUGGAGUCGAAUGAUGCGACUUUCUUUGAAGAUAUCUUUCCAAUGAAGGAUAUGACUACCUCAUCUAAUCAGGAGAUGCCUAGUUUCGUCGAAUCAGGAACUGGUUAUAAUUACCGAACCAGCCAUUUCGAUGGAACACUUUGAAAAUCCUAUGGAGGAGAACAAUAAAGUUCCUACUAGGAGCAAGAGACAGAGGACUGCAAAGUCCUUUGGUGAUGAUUUUCAAGUGUAUCUCAUAGAUGACACUCCCAGUUCUAUUUUAGAGGCCUAUGCAUCUGAAGAUGCUGACUACUUGAAGAAGCGGUUCGUAGCAAGAUGGAUUCCAUCUUGGCGAAUGAAACUUGGGAGAUAACUUAUCGUCCUUAUGGGUGCAAACCUAUAGGAUGCAAAUGGGUAUUCAAGAAGAAGCUUAGGCCUGAUGGUACUAUUGAAAAGUACAAGGCUCGGCUCGUGGAGAAGGGUUAUACCCAAAAGGAAGGUGAAGACUUCUUUGAUACUUACUCACCUGUGGCUCGACUGACCACUAUUCGAGUUCUACUUUCACUAGCUGCCUCACAUGGUCUUCUCAUAAAUCAAAUGGAUGUUAAGACUGCUUUCCUAAAUGGAGAGUUGGACGAGGAAAUUUAUAUGGAACAACCAGAUGGGUUUGUACUAGAUGGUAAGGACGGAAAAGUGUGCAAGUUGCUGAAGUAUUUGUAUGGACUCAAGCAAGCACCCAAAUAGUGGCAUGAGAAGUUUGAAAGAAUUUUAACAGUUGCAGGCUUUGUUGUAAACAAAGUUGACAAAUGUGUGUAUUAUCGCCAUGGUGGGGGCGAGGGAGUUAUCCUUUGUUUGUAUGUUGACGACAUACUAAUUUUCGAAACAAAUCUAAAUGUUAUUAAGGAGGUCAAGGAUUUCCUAUCUCGUUGUUUUGAGAUGAAGGAUUUAGGAGUGGUUGAUGUCAUUCUGAACAUCAAGUUGUUGAGAGACGAUAAUGGUGGGAUUACAUUGCUUCAAUCUCACUAUGUGAAAAAGAUCUUGAGUCGCUUUGGCUAUAGUGACUGUAAGCCCUCUCCAACACCAUAUGAUGCGAGUGUAUUACUUCGAAAGAAUCAAAGAAUUUCUAGAGAUCAAUUGAAAUAUUCUCAUAUUAUUGGCUCACUUAUGUACUUAGCCAGUGCUACAAGACCUGACAUCUCUUUUGCUGUUAGCAAACUGAGUCGGUUUAUCUCAAAACCAGGAGAUGUGCAUUGGAAAGCUCUAGAGAGAGUUUUGCGUUAUUUGAAAGGCACUGCGAAAUAUGGAAUUCACUACACCGGGCACCCAAAGGUGCUUGAAGGGUACAGUGACUCAAACUGGAUCUCAGAUGCUGAUAAGAUAAAGGCCACGAGCGGAUAUGUAUUAACUCAUGGAGGUGGCGCUGUUUCGUGGAAGUCUUGCAAGCAGACCAUCUUAACAAGGUCAAAAAUGGAAGCAGAACUCACAGCACUAGAUACAGCUACGGUCGAAGCAGAUUGGCUUCGUCAGCUCUUGAAUGACUUGCCGAUUGUUGAGAAACCUGUACCGGGUAUCCUUAUGAACUGCGACAAUCAAACUGUAAUCACGAAAGUGAGCAGCUCAAAGGAUAACAUGAAGUCAUCAAGACACAUUCAGAGAAGGUUAAAGUUUGUCAGGAAAGUGAGAAACUCCGGAGUUAUUGCAUUGGAUUAUAUCCAAACGUCUAAAAAUUUGGCAGAUCCUUUCAGUAAGUGUCUAUCACGUAAUAUGAUAGAUAAUGCAUCGAGGGAGAUGGGAAUGAGACCCACAAUAUGAGUUGUUCAAAGUGGUAACCUAGUCUAUGUGAUUGGAGAUCCUGUGAAUUAGAUGUGGAAGAGAAGCUAUUGGUCAACUAAGAGGAGAGUAUCCUGACUAUUAAUACCACUCCAUGAAGAUGCAAUACUCUCCUAAUCUGCAUGGCAGGUUGAUGUAUAUCUUAAUGUGUUCUAAGUGGCUCUUUGAAGAAGAGAUGUUGUCCUGCAGAACAUCUUUUGAAGAACGCACCUAUAUGAGUCUAAUUGUUAAACGUCACAAUCUAUGAGAGUAGGGUUCUCUCUAGUAAACUCAUGAAAGGUCUCGGAGUAUGACGCAUAAGCUCCACCCACGGGGAAGACCCACGGUAGCCAAGUAUUCGCAAAAAACUUGCAGUUCAAGGCCCAGUCCAUUGUCCAAGUUGCUUACUAGUGUAGCAUAGAGUUCUAGGAGGAAGUUCAACUUAACAGUCUCCACUGUAGUACUGGUAUAUAAAACAGUGUUUGGAACCAAAGGCAAAUUUUGUGUGCCUUUGGGAUCUGGUGGGGGAUUGCUGGAAUUUUAUCAAUUUUGGGCCUAGCCCAAUAGCAGUUUCAGAAAUUCCUAAUAAAUCCUAGAAGCCCACUCAGCCGAUUCGUGCAAGGAAAGUGGUGGAACUAAAGUUUAGUCCCACAUUGCUAGUUUAGAGGGAGUUGGACCUCUUAUUCCACUCGCCACAAGUUCCUGAGUAUUGCGCUGCUGCUAUGUUCUUCCCCAUCCUGACUUGCGGCGUGCACCGCAGGUCGGGACAGUAGGCCUCCGAAACCGCAUCUUUUGGGUCAUGUACGGAAGAAGGGUGAUAAGGUUUUUGGGGAGCACUUCGCGCGACUACUGACUUCUUCGUCACGGACGCCUCAGACUCCAACGGCUACUUCCCCAACGAUGACUACUUCCCUGACGUCGACAACCUCCUCGACGACAUGGCUGGCGAGGACACCGACCCCAAGUCUAGCACUUAUGCUGCUGCUGUCCCGUACGCGUUCUUCCUCUUUCUAUUAGAGGCCCUGCUACAGUUCCUUGUUCUAGUGUUUGCCCUAGAUAUGUUAGACUCUGUUUCACAUAUGCAACUUGCUAUACUAUCUACUCUAGAUGUGUUUAGUUACAGUUCAUAUAUGAAGCUGAUGUUUACCUUUUCUUUGUCAAAUAGCAUGACUUGUUUUAUCACUGCUAUACUAGUCGUGCUUUAUCUAGUAUUUCUAUUAAUAAAAUCAUUGGGUAAAUUGCUCAUAUUUCCAACACUGCAUGGAUAUGCUAAUGCAAAAAUGUAACUUAGCAUGCAUGACAUGUUGAUGUGGCAUGGUUACAUGGCUAGGAAAGGAGUAGUGGUUUAUGUCACAAUUAAAUCCAAUGUGAUUUAAGACACACUUAUUGUCGGAGGGAUGAACCCCGGGCAGGCAACGGAACCUGGAUCCUCUUCAAAAAUAGUGGGGCCCGCAUCGCCCCUCAAACCGGCACGCGCCCGACCGUGUCGCUCGACCCGGCAAGGCCUGCAACCCGGAAAAACUCUCUGACCCGGCAAAGUACGUCGACCCGGCCUCAGCAACUGGCGCAUGGCAGCCGAACCCGGCACGACCAAGGCUUCCCCAACAAGCCGACCCCACCUGUGGUGUGCGUCGCAGUCCAGCCACGGGUCAAGCUCCCGUCCCAUCCAGGCCGUACGAUGGGACGAGAUCUCAAUCACCAAUGACCAAGACAACAGUGCUUCCACCCAUGCCUUUGGUCAGCCGGAGCAUGGCAACAGUGCCCCUCACCUACCCGCUGACUGGGGCUGGCGUGGCAACUGUGCUCCCGCCCUCACCGCUGACGGCAUCAAGCGGCAACCUGACAGAGAGUAUUGUACGCGACUCGACUCGGCCAUGCCCCGACGAUCGACAAGAUGGCGCACAGUCCCCCUAGCACGCGGGGCCCGCACCUAGGGGAACCCGGCGAACCACAAGCCCUCAGCGGGACACAGCCCGGCAUCCCGGACACCGACAAUACAGACCCACCGACUCGGCGUAUUACCAUUGUAACCCUGGGUGGGUUGAUCUAUAAAACACCUCAGGAACCCACACCUACAUGGGCAUGUACAAGGUAGCAUGUGAGAAACAGAUACAAGGGACAAGCAAGAAAGCAUAGGACUAGCCACCAAACCGCAACACCGGAGAGAAGGAACAGCCCAAGCCUUGGCCAGCUUCCUUCCUCCUCCAUACAGCUCCAGGAGAAACAUUGUACUAUCGAUCAUCCAACUACACUCAGCAGGACUAGGGGUAUUAUCUCUCCGGAGAGCCCCAAACCUGGGUAUGUCCGGUGUCCCGUGCCCACUCAUGCCAACCUCGCCUCUGGAGCCCACCAGCGCCCUCGAGCCUCCUCCUCUCUUUAGCCAUCCCUUGGCAUCUGCUGUGCACCCACCACGACAGUUGGCGCCCACCAUGGGGCAGCUCAAGGAGCUAGCCGGGAGCAUGCUUUAGAUGGGGCCCUUCUCCUACACCGACGAGUCCGUCGUGCUGGCGGACGAUGUUGUCGGCGUGCUUACCGCCUCCUUCGCCGCACUGCGCAUCUCCGAUGCGUUCGUGGCUGAUGAGUACCCCAGCGAGGUGCUUAGCUACUCCGACUCGCCGCUCUCCCUGGGCGGUGGCAUUGCCGCCGGGGCGAUGGACGUCCAUGUGGAGGUUUACGUCACCGACGAUGGCGCCUCCUCCUCGUCGAGCAAGACGAGGAAGGCCGUGGAAGCCAGGGCCACUGCGGAAUGGACCGAGCCGUCCGAUCCGCUGUGCACUGCGAUGCAGAGCCUCCGCACCCCCAUCGGCACCGACGUCGACGCCACCAACGUCGCCGAGGCCUGAUCUUAGCUCGAGGAAAGGCGCCAGCAGAUGUUGGACCUGUCUGAGACGCUCGCCGCCACCAAGCGGCGCCUGGAGUCCGCUUAGAUGGAGAAUGAUGCCGCCCACGGAUUCACGCCUGCCACGGCUGAGCCAAGUCGGGUCGCCAAUGUGCGUACCCGGGGAGGAGCGAUUGGUUGGGCCCUCGGCGCCGUCCGAACCGUCUACGAGACCCCAGUGAAGAACAUGCGCGCUGCAGAGGCAGCCGCGGUCGGCAUGGACCAGCUCACGGGUGAGGAGCUGAAAGAGCGCAUUGGGCGGAUGCGAGCUCCUCCACGUCGCCAACACCCAGCAGGAUUGCCUCAACCAGUUCGCCAAGCCGAUGGGAUCCAGCUCCGCCCACCUUGGUGGACCCGAUGAACUUCUGCACACAGCUUCCUCGCCGCCCGGCGAGGCGCACUCGGCCAAGCCCAUACUCGGCGCAACCCGGCCGCCACAGCCGCCGCUGUCCUGGGCAACGAGCCCGCCGCGGAGACCUAGCGUGGACCCGGCCAGCAUGGUCGGCGUCCGGCUCCAACUGACCUGGCCCCUCGGGGCCCGGCCGCCAGUCGACUCGGCCCGCGCGCCAUCGAUGACGCAGACGCUCGCCACCGCCUCGAUCAGCUCGCUCGCUCCCUGGAGGUGGAGGAGAGCGGCGCUAUCAGACCGGCGUGCUUCGGCCCAUGCAUCCGGGAGGAGCCCUUCCCCAAAGGGUUCGUGCUCCCCCGCGACACCCCCAAGUACAAUAGGACUGUAAAGGCGGAAGACUGGCUCACCGACUAUACCACGACCAUUGGCAUCACCAAUGCCAAUCGCCAUCUCGCCGUGUGCUACGCACCGCUCACACUCCAGGGGUCGGCCCGCACGUGGUUGAACAGUCUGCCGAUGGGCAGCAUCAAUGUGUAGGUCGACUUUGAGGAGGCCUUUGUUCGCAACUUCGCGGGGACCUACAAGCGACCCGGUCGCCCUAGCCAACUCGCCAUGUGCGUGCAGGGGCCGACGGAGACCGGUCGCAAGUACCUCGCACGCUGGACCGAGCUCCGAAACAGCUGCGAGGGCGUCCAUGAAGUCCAGGCGAUCCAGUACUUCGUCAGCGGGUGCCGAGACGGCACCCUCCACAAGCACAAGCUCUUGCGCUCCGAGCUGGCCAUCAUGGCCGCACUCAUGGUGACGGCGGACAAGUACGCCAACGCUGACUCCGCCAUGAAGAUCCAGGUGGCGCUGGAUGAAGCCGGCAAUGCGAAGCCGGUUCCUCCCUCGAAGCCGGCCGGUGAAAGCAGCCGGCAGCAGCAUCACCAGAACAACAAGCGCAAGGCCGACCAGCCGGCGCAGCGUCACGACAACCGGCAUGUUGCGGCCGCCGAGCCUGUGAAGGACCCGGUGGCGAAGCGUCGGAAGACCGGCAAGAUGGCGUGGCAACCCGCCAUGAGUUUCGAAGAAAUGCUCGACGCCCCAUGCAAGCACCACAACGGCGCAAGACCCUCCACGCACACGCUUUGGCAGUGUGCCAUCACCAAGUGCAUCAUGAGGGGAGACGUCCCGCCUCCUCCGGCUCCGGCUCCAGCUCUAGGCGCGGGACAGCCGCCUCCGCCUCCACCGCCGCCUCCCGCUGGUGGCGCGAUGCGGAACGACGCCUACCCGAACCAGAACGCGGCCUAUGUCGUCUUCACCAGCCUCGGCAACGACAAGUGCAGCGAGCGCCUUCUUCGGCAGGAGGUGAACACCGUCGUCCUGGCCAAGCCGGAGUUCAUGCACUGGUCGGAUCGCCCGAUCACCUGGAUCCGGGAGGAUCACCCAGCAGUCAUGCCGAGUCCGGGUGGUUACGCCCUCAUCCUCAACCCCACCAUCGUCGCGUGGUGCACAUGCAAGUUCUCCCGGGUCCUCAUCAACGGCGGCAGCAGCAUCAACAUCCUCUACCGCGACACGAUGACCAAGCUCGACCUCAAGGACGAGGACCUGGAGCCGGCCCGGACAAUCUUCCACGACAUCGUUCCCGGCCUCUCCUGCUCUCCCAUUGGUCGGGUCCGGCUCGAUGUCCUAUUCGGCGACAACAGCCACUUCCGACGCGAACCGAUCUGGUUCGAGGUGGUGGACCUGUCCAGCGCAUAUCAUGCAUUGCUGGGUCGGCCCGCGCUCACCAAGUUCAUGGCGGUUCCCCACUACGCGUACCUGAAGAUGAAGAUGUCGGGUCCCAAGGGCCUCAUCACCGUCACCGGCGACUACCGCAAGUCCCUGGAGUGUGCCCGAGAUGGUGCCAAGUUGGCCGAGUCGCUGGUCAUUGCCGAGGAGCGGUGCCAGCUCGACCGGAUUGUCGCCCUGGCAGGCGAGGCCUCCGCAGCAUCGAUCCCGACCCCGGACCCGGCCGACGAGGCCGCCUUCAAGCCCUCCAAGGAGACCAAAAAGUGAAGCUCAACCCAGAAGACCCCAGCUGCAGCAAGUAUGUUAUCGUAGGCGCCCUCCUCGACAGCAAAUAGGAAGGUGAGCUCGUCGACUUCCUCCGUGAGAAUCGGGAUAUCUUCGCACGGACCCCCAAGGACAUGCCGGGUAUCCCGAGGAAGUACGCCGAGCACAAACUUCACGUCUGCAAGGACGCCAAGCCUGUCCAUCAACCCCCACGACAAUUUUCCAAAUAGAAGAGAAGAACCAUUGGUGAAGAGGUCGCCAAGCUUUUGGCGGCCGGCUUCAUAAUGGAAGUGUUUCACCCCGAGUGGCUGGCCAAUCCAGUCCUCGUCCUGAAGAAAAACAAGACCUGGCGCAUGUGUAUUGACUACACCAGCCUCAACAAGGCCUAUCCCAAGGAUCUGUUUGCUUUCCCACGGAUCGACCAAGUCAUCGACUCGACCGUCGGGUGCGAGCCCCUGUCCUUCCUGGACGCUUACUCCGGCUACCACCAGAUCAAGCUGGACCCGGCCGAUGCCCUGAAGACGUCCUUCAUCACGCCCUUUGGGGCGUAUUGCUACAUCACCAUGUCGUUCGGCUUGAAGAACGCCGGCGCCACCUUCCAACGCUGCAUGCAGAAGUGCCUACUGCCGCAACUCGGCCGCAAUAUCCACAUGUACGUGGACGACAUCGUGGUGAAGACCAAGCAGCACCUCAUGCUCCUCGAUGAUUUGAAGGAGACAUUCACCAACCUCCACGAAUACAAGGUCAAGCUUAACCUAGAAAAAUGCGUUUUCGGCGUCCCCACUGGAAAGCUACUCGGCUUCCUCGUCUGGGAACGUGGCACUGAGGCGAACCCGGAUAAGAUCAAGGCCAUCGAGCUCAUGCGCAGACCAGCUCGGCUGCGCGACGUCCAGAAGUUCACCGGGUGCUUGGCCUUGGUCAGCCGGUUUCUAAGCCGGCUGGGCGAGAGGGCGCUACCCCUGUACCAACUGAUGAAGAAGACAAGCCCGUUCAAAUGGAACGGCAAGGCAGACGAGGCCUUCCAAGACCUCAAGCGCAUGCUCUCCACCGCACCAGUCCUGGCCGCGCCGACCGGCAAGGAGCCGCUGUUGCUCUACAUUGUCGUGACCUCGCGGGUGGUGAGCACUGUGCUGGUGGUCGAGCGACCAGAGAAGGGCAAGAUCCAAGUCGUCCAGCAUCCAGUCUACUACCUGAGCGAGGUGCUCUCCAUAUCCAAGCAGAACUACCAGCACUACCAGAAGAUGUGUUACGGCGUGUACCUCACCGCCAAGAAGCUGAAGCAGUACUUACAAGAGCACGUCGUCACCGUCGUCAGCACGACGCCUAUCGGAGAAAUCAUCGGGUGCCGGGACGCCUCUGGCCGGGUCGCCAAGUGGGCGAUCCAGCUAGCCGUUCGCACCAUCCUCUACGAGCCCCGCACCACGAUCAAGUCUCAAGCCCUGGCCGACUUCCUCGUCGACUGGACCGAGACCCAGUACUUGCCGCCGCCUCCCGACUCGACGCAUUGGCGCAUGCACUUCGACGGGUCCAAGAUGCGACUCUGCUUGGGGGCCGGCAUCGUACUGUCAUCCCCGAAGGGCAACCGGCUCUGCUACGCGCUCCAGAUCCACUUUGCUGCCUCCAACAACGUCGCCGAAUAUGAAGCCCUUAUGCACGGCCUCUGGCUUACCAAGGAACUCGGCAUCCAGCGCAUUCCGUGCUACGGUGACUCGGACAUGGUGGUGCAGUAGUGCUCCGGCGAAUGGGACGCCCGCGACUCCAACAUGGCAAGCUACCGAUUACUCGUCCAGAAGAUGUCCGGAUCCUUCGAGGGCUGUGAGUUCCUCCAUGUCCCGCGCAUGGAGAACGAAGCAGCCGACACGCUCGCCAAGAUUACCUCAUCACGACAAGCCAUCCCGUCUGGCGUCUCCCUCGAGCACCUACGCAAGCCGUCCGUCAAGCCAUCGCCGGACUCCGAGUCCAUUCAUGUUCCAGACGACCCGGCCGCACCUCAAGCCGGCCCGGGGACUGCUGAACCCGGCCCGGGGGCUGCUCAGCUCAACCUGGCCACCGUCAACCCGGACCCGGCUGUCGCCAUCCCCGACCCGGGGCUGCUCAACCCGGCUCGGGGGCUGCCGGCUCGGAACCCACCCUGGUGGCCGUCUUCUGUUGGGGAUCGUUGCAGAAAUAAAAAAAAUCUACGCAUCACCAAGAUCAAUCUAUGGAGAGACUAGCAACGAUAGAGAGGGGAGUGCAUCUUCAUACCUUUGAAGAUCGCUAAGCAGAAGCGUUACAAGAACGCGGAUGAUGGAGUCGUACUCGUGGCGAUUCAAAUCGUGGAAGAUCCGAUCUAGCGCCGAACGGACGGCGCCUCCGCGUUCAACACACGUACAGCCCGCGGACGUCUCUUCCUUCUUGAUCCAGCAAGGGGAGAGGAGAAGUUGAGGGAGAACUCCGGCAGCACGACGGCGUGGUGGUGGAGCUUGCAGUUCUCCGGCAGGGCUUCGCCAAGCACCACUGAGGAGGAGGUGGAGUUGGAGAGGGGGAGGGCUGCGCCAGGGGCAAGCGUGAAGCUCCCAUGCGCCUCCCCACUAUAUAUAGGGGUGGAGGGGGCUGGUUUCUUGCCCUCCAAGUCCAUUGGGGCGUUGGCAAAGGUGGGAGGAAAGAAAUCCCAUCAUUUCCUUCCCCACCGAUUGUUAUCCCCCCUUUAUAGGGAUCUUGAUCUUAUCCUUUCGGGAUAUGAUCUUAUUCCUUCUGAGGGGGGAUCUUGGUGCGCCUUGACCAGGGGUGUGGGGCCUUGCCCUCACUACCCACGUUCAUGUGGGUACCUCCCAUGCAGGUGGGCCCCACUCCAGAACCUUCUAGAACCUUCCCGGUACAAUACCGAAAAAUCCCAAACAUUUUCCGGUGGCCAAAAUAGGACUUCCCAUAUAUAAAUCUUUACCUCCGGACCAUUCCGGAACACCUCGUGACGUCUGGGAUCUCAUCCGGGACUCCGAACAACAUUCGGUAACUGCACACUAAUUCCCAUAACAACUCUAACGUCACCGAACCUUAAGUGUGUAGACCCUACGGGUUCGGGAAUCAUGCAGACAUGACCGAGACAGCUCUCUGACCAAUAACCAACAGCAGGAUCUGGAUACCCAUGUUGGCUCCCACAUGUUCCAUGAUGAUCUCAUCGGAUGAACCACGAUGUCAAGGAUUCAAGCAAUCCCGUAUACAAUUCCCUUUGUCAAUCGGUACGUUACUUGCCCGAGAUUCGAUCGCCGGUAUCCCAAUACCUCGUUCAAUCUAGUUACCGGCAAGUCACUUUACUCAUUCCGUAAUGCAUGAUCCCGUGACUAACUAAUUAGUCACAUUGAGCUCAUUAUGAUGAUGCAUUACCAAGUGGGCCCAGAGAUACCUCUCAUUCAUCGGAGUGACAAAUCCCAGUCUCGAUUCGUGCCAACCCAAUAGACACUUUCAGAGAUACCUGUAGUGCACCUUUAUAGCCACCCAGUUAGGUUGUGACGUUUGGUACACCCAAAGCAUUCCUACGGUAUCCGGGAGUUACACAAUCUCAUGGUCUAAGGAAAUGAUACUUGACAUUAGAAAAGCUCUUAGCAAACGAACUACACGAUCUUGUGCUAUGCUUAGGAUUGGGUCUUGUCCAUCACAUCAUUCUCCUAAUGAUAUGAUCCCGUUAUCAAUGACAUCCAAUGUCCAUGGUCAGGAAACCAUAACCAUCUAUUGAUCAACGAGCUAGUCAACUAGAGGCUCACUAGGGACAUGUUGUGGUCUAUGUAUUCACACAUGUAUUACGGUUUCCAGUUAAUACAAUUAUAGCAUGAACAAUAGACAAUUAUCCUGAACAAGGAAAUAUAAUAAUAACCAUUUUAUUAUUUCCUCUAGGGCAUAUUUCCAACAGUCUCCCACUUGCACUAGAGUCAAUAAUCUAGUUCACAUCAUUAUGUGAUUGUAAUUAAUCCAACAGCCAUGGUGUUUGAUCAUAUCUCGCUUGUGAGAGAGGUUUAUUAGUCAACAGGUCUGAACCUUUCAGAUUCGUGUGUGCUUUACAAAUAUCAAUGUCAUCUUGUAGAUGCAGCUUCCACGCGCUACUUGGAGCUACUCCAAACAACUGCUCUACUAUACGAAUCUGGUUUACUACUCAGAGUCAUCCGGAUUAGUGUCAAAGUUUGCAUUGACGUAACCCUUUACGAAGAACUCUUUUACCACCUCCAUAAUCGAGAAAAUUCCUUAGUCAACUAGUUACUAAGGAUAAGUUUGACCACUGUCAUGUGAUCCAUUCCUGGAUCACACUUGUACCCCUUGACUGACUCAUGGCAAGGCACACUUCAGGUGCGGUACACAACAUAGCAUACUUUAGAGCCUACAUCUGAAGCAUAGGGGACGACCUUCGUCCUUUCUUUCUCUUCUGCCAUGGUCAGGUCUUGAGUCUUACUCAAUAGUCACACCUUAUGACAUAGCCAAGAACUCCUUCUUUGCCGAUCUAUUUUGAACUCCUUCAAAAUCUUGUCACGGUAUGUAUUCAUUCGAAAGUACUAUUAAGCGUUUUUUGAUCUAUCUUUAUAGAUCUUGAUGCUCAAUGUUCAAGUAGCUUAAUCCAGGUUUUCCAUUGAAUAACACUUUUCAAAUAACCCUAUAUAAUGUCCAGAAAUUCUACAUCAUUUCUGAUCAACAAUAUGUCAAUAACAUAUACUCAUCAGAAAUUCUAUAGUGCUCCCACUCACUUAUUUGGAAAUACAAGUUUCUCAUAAACAUUUCAUAAACCCAAAAUCUUUGAUCAUCUCAUCAAAGAGUAUAUGCUUACUCCAGUCCUUAGAAGGAUUGCUGGAGCUUUGCAUACUUGUUAGCAUCUUUCAGGAUUGAAAAAACCUUCUGGUUGUAUCACAUACAACCUUUCCUCAAGAAAAUUGUCGAGGAAACAAUGUUUUGACAUCCUAUCUGCAAGAUUUCAUAAAUAAUGCAGUAAUUGCUAAUAUAAUUCCAACAGACUCUUAGCAUUGCUACGAGUGAGAAAGUCUCGUUGUAGUCAACUCCUUGAACUUGUUGGAAAACAUCUUAACGACAAGUCGAGCUUUCUUAAUGGUGAUACUUACCAUCAUUGUCCGUCUUCCUUUUAAAAUCCGUCUGUACCCAACAGCCUUACGACCAUCAAGUAGUUCUUCCAAAGUCUACAUGUUGUUUUCAUACAUGGAUCCUCGGCCUCGAGCCAUUUUCGGAAUCUGGGCCCACCAUCGCUUCUCCAUAGCUCGUAGGUUCAUUGUUGUCUAGCAACAUGACCUCCAAGAUAGGAUUACCGUACCACUCUGAAGCAGUACAUGUCCUUGUCGUCCUACGAGGUUUCGUAGUGACUUGAUCUGAAGUUUCAUGAUCACUAUCAUCAACUUCCACUUCAAUUGGUGUAGGUGCCACAGGAACAACUUCCUGUGCCCUGCUACACACUGGUUGAAGUGAUGGUUCAAUAACCUUAUCAAGUCUCCACCAUCCUCCCACUCAAUUCUUUCGAGAGAAACUUUUCCUCGAGAAAGGACCCGUUUAUAGAAACAAUCAGUUUUGCUUCCAGAUCUGAAAUAGGAGGUAUAACCAACUGUUUUGGGUGUCCUAUGAAGAUGCAUUUAUCCACUUUGGGUUCGAGCUUAUCUGCCUGAAACCUUUUCACAUAAGCGUCGCAGCCCCAAACUUUCAAGAAACGACAACUUAGGUUUCUCUAAACCAUAGUUCAUAGGGUGUCAUCUCAAUGGAAUUACGUGGUUCCCUAUUUAAAGUGAGUGCGGUUGUCUCUAAUGCCUAACCCAUGAACGAUAGUGGCAAUUCGAUAACAGACAUCAUGGUAUGCCCCAUAUCCAAUGGGGUGUAUCUAUCAUGUUCGGACACACCAUCACACUAUGGUGUUCCAGGCGGUGUUAGUUGUGAAACAAUUUCCACAAUGUAUUAAUUGUGUACCAAACUCGCAACUCAGAUAUUCAUCUCUAUGAUCAUAUCAUAGACAUUUUAUCCUCUUGUCACGAAGAUCUUCAACUUCACUCUGAAACUACUUGAACCUUUCAAUAAUUCAGACUUGUGUUUCAUCAAGUAAAUAUACUCAACAUCUACUCAAAUCAUCUGUGAAGUAAGAACAUAACGAUAUCCACUGCGUGCCUCAGCACUCAUUGGACUGCACACAUCAAAAUGUAUUACUUCCAACAAGUUGCUUUCUUGUUCCAUCUCACUAAAAACGAGGCCUUUCAGUCAUAUUGCCCAUGUGGUAUUAUUUGCAUGUCUCAAGUGAUUCAAAAUCAAGUGAGUCCAAACGAUCCAUUUGUAUGGAGUUUCUUCAUGCAUAUAUACCAAUGGACAUGGUUCGCAUGUCUCAAUCUUUUCAAAAACGAGUGAGUCCAAAGAUCCAUCAACAUGGAGCUUCUUCAUGCGUUUUAUAUCAAUAUGACUCAAAUGGUAGUGCCACAAGUAUGUGGUACUAUCAUUACUAUCUUAUAUCUUUUGGCAUGAACAUGUGUAUCACUAUGAUCGAGAUUCAAUAAACCAUUCAUUUUAGGUGCAAGACCUUUGAAGGUAUUAUUCAAAUAAACAAAGUAACCAUUAUUCUCCUUAAAUGAAUAACCAUAUUGCGAUAAACAUAAUCCAAUCAUGUCUAUGCUCAACGCAAACACCAAAUAACAAUUAUUUAGGUUUAACACCAAUCUCGAUGGUAGAGGGAGCAUGCGAUGCUUGAUCACAUCAACCUUGGAAACACUUCCCACACAUAUCUUCAUCUCACCUUUAGCUAGUCUCCGUUUAUUCCGCAGCUUUUAUUUUGAGUUACUAACACUUAGCAACCGAACCGGUAUCUAAUACCCUGGUGCUACUAGGAGUACUAGUAAAGUACACAUUAAUAUAAUGUAUGUCCAAUAUACUUCUGUCGACCUUGCCAGCCUUCUCAUCUACCAAGUAUCUAGGGUAGUUCUGCUUCAGUGACCGUUCCCUCAUUCCAGAAGCACUUAGUCUCAGGUUUGGGUUCAACCUUGGGUUUCUUCACUAGAGCAGCAACUGAUUUGCCAUUUCAUGAAGUAUCCCUUCUUGCCCUUGCCCUUCUUGAAACUAGUGGUUUUACUAACCAUCAACAAUUGAUGCCCGUACUCAAUUUCUACUUUCACGGUGUCAAACAUCACGAAUUGCUCAAGGAUCAUCAUGUCUAUCCCUGACAUGUUAUAGUUCAUCACGAAGCUCUAAUAGCUUGGUGGCAGUGACUAUGGAGAACCAUCACUAUCUCAUCUGGAAGAUUAACUCCCACUCAAUUCAAGUGAUUGUAGAACUCUGACAAUCUGAGCACAUGCUCAAUGAUUGAGCUUUUCUCCCUUAGUUUGCAGGUUAAGAAACUCGUCAGAGGUCUCAUACCUCUUGACGUGGGCACUAGCCUGAAAUCCCAAUUUCAGCCCUUGGAACAUCCUCUAUGUUCCGCGACGUUUCAGAAAUCGUCUUCGGCGCCUCAAUUCUAAACUGUUUAACAUUACUGAACUAUCACAUAGUCAUCAAAACGUGUAUGUCAGAUGUUUGCAACAUCCACAUACGACGUUUGAGGUUCAGCACACCGAGCGGUGCAUUAAGGACAUAAGCCUUCUACGCAGCAAUGAGGACAAUCCUCAGUUUACAGACCCAUUCCGCAUAAUUGCUACUAUCAACUUUCAACUAAAUUUUCUCUAGGAACAUAUCUAAAACAGUAGAACUAAAGCGUAAGCUACGACAUAAUUUGCAAAGACCUUUUGACUAUGUUCAUGAUAAUUAAGUUCAUCUGAUUAUUUAAUGAACUCCCACUUAGAUAGACAUCCCUCUAGUCAUCUAAGUGAUACAUGAUCCGAGUCAACUAGGCUGUGUCCGAUCAUCACGUGAGACGGACUAGUCAUCAUCGGUGAACAUCUUCAUGUUGAUCAUAUCCACUAUACGACUCAUGUUCGACCUUUCGGUCUCUUGUGUUCCGAGGCCAUGUAUGUACAUGCUAGGCUCGUCAAGUCAACCUAAGUGUUUCCCGUGUGUAAAUCUGGCUUACACCCGUUGUAUGUGAACGUUAGAAUCUAUCACACCCGAUCAUCACGUGGUGCUUCGAAACAACGAACUUUCGCAAUGGUGCAUAGUUAGGGGGAACACUUUCUUGAAAUUAUUAUGAGGGAUCAUCUUAUUUACUACCGUCGUUCUAAGCAAAUAAGAUGCAUAAACAUGAUAAACAUCACAUGCAAUCAAAUAGUGACAUGAUAUGGCCAAUAUCAUUUUGCUCCUUUUGAUCUCCAUCUUCGAGGCUCCAUGAUCAUCAUCGUCACCGGCAUGACACCAUGAUCUCCAUCAUCAUGAUCUCCAUCAUCGUGUCUCCAUGAAGUUGUCUCGCCAACUAUUACUUCUACUACUAUGGCUAACGGUUUAGCAAUAAAGUAAAGUAAUUACAUGGCGUUAUUUAAUGACACGUAGGUCAUACAAUAAAUUAAGACAACUCCUAUGGCUCCUGCCGGUUGUCAUACUCAUCGACAUGCAAAUCGUGAUUCCUAUUACAAGAGCAUGACCAAUUUCAUACAUCACAUAGCAUUCAUCACAUUCUUUUGGCCAUAUCACAUCACAUAGCAUACCCUGCAGAAACAAGUUAGACGUCCUCUAAUUGUUGUUGCAUGUUUUACGUGGCUGCUAUGGGUUUCAAGCAAGAACGUUUCUUACCUACGCAAAAGCCACAACGGUGAUAUGCCAAUUGCUAUUUACCCUUCAUAAGGACCCUUUUCAUCGAAUCUGAUCCGACUAAAGUGGGAGAGACUGGCACCCGUUAGCCACCUUAUGCAACAAGUGCAUGUCAGUCGGUGGAACCUGUCUCACGUAAGUGUACGUGUAAGGUCGGUCCAGGCCGCUUCAUCCCACAAUACCGUCGAAAAAAGAUAGGACUAGUAACGGUAAGCAUAUUGAACAAAAUGAACGCCCACAACAACUUGUGUUCUACUCGUGCAUAGAAUCUACACAAUAGACCUAGCUCAUGAUGCCACUGUUGGGGAUCGUUGCAGAAACUAAAAAAAAAUCUACGCAUCACCAAGAUCAAUCUAUGGAGAGACUAGCAAUGAUAGAGAGGGGAGUGCAUCUUCAUACCUUUGAAGAUCGCUAAGCACAAGCAUUACAAGAACGCGGAUGAUGGAGUCAUACUCGUGGCGAUUCAAAUCGCGGAAGAUGCAAUCUAGCACCGAACGGACGGCGGCUCCGCGUUCAACACACGUACAGCCAGGGACGUCUCCUCCUUCUCGAUCCAGCAAGGGGAGAGGAGAAGUUGAGGGAGAACUCCGGCAGCACGACGGCGUGGUGGUGGAGCUUGCAGUUCUCCGGCAGGGCUUCGCCAAGCACUACUGAGGAGGAGGUGGAGUUGGAGAGGGGAGGGCUGCGCCAGGGGAAAGGGUGAAGCUCCCAUGCACCUCCCCACUAUAUAUAGGGGUGGAGGGGGCUGGUUUCUUGCCCUCCAAGUCCAUUGGGGCGUUGGCAAAGGUGGGAGGAAAGAAAUCCCAUCAUUUCCUUCCCCACCGAUUGUUAUCCCCCCUUUCUAGGGAUCUUGAUCUUAUCCUUUCGGGAUAUGAUCUUAUUCCUUCUGAGGGGGGAUCUUGGUGCGCCUUGACCAGGGGUGUGGGGCCUUGCCCCCACUAUCCACGUUCAUGUGGGUCCCCCCAUGCAGGUGGGACCCACUCUAGAACCUUCUAGAACCUUCUCGGUACAAUACCGAAAAAUCCCGAACAUUUUCCGAUGGCAAAAAUAGGACUUCCCAUAUAUAGAUCUUUACCUCCGAACCAUUCCGGAACUCCUCGUGACGUCUGGGAUCUUAUCCGGGACUCCAAACAACAUUCGGUAACUGCAUACUAAUUCCCAUAACAACUCUAGCGUCACCGAACCUUAAGUGUGUAGACCCUACGGGUUCGGGAAUCAUGCAGACAUGACCGAGACAGCUCUCUGGCCAAUAACCAACAGCGGGAUCUGGAUACCCAUGUUGGCUCCCACAUGUUCCAUGAUGAUCUCAUCGGAUGAACCACGAUGUCAAGGAUUCAAGCAAUCCCGUAUACAAUUCCCUUUGUCAAUCGGUAUGUUACUUGCCCGAGAUUCGAUCGCCGGUAUCCCAAUACCUCGUUCAAUAUCGUUACCGGCAAGUCACUUUACUCGUUCCAUAAUGCAUGAUCUCGUGACUAACUACUUAGUCACAUUGAGCUCAUUAUGAUGAUGCAUUACCGAGUGGGCCCAGAGAUACCUCUCCGUCAUCGGAGCGACAAAUCCCAGUCUCGAUUCGUGCCAACCCAACAGACACUUUCAGAGAUACCUGUAGUGCACCUUUAUAGCCACCCAGUUACGUUGUGACGUUUGGUACACCCAAAGCAUUCCUACGGUAUCCGGGAGUUACACAAUCUCAUGGUCUAAGGAAAUGAUACUUGACAUUAGAAAAUCUCUUAGCAAACGAACUACACGAUCUUGUGCUAUGCUUAGGAUUGGGUCUUGUCCAUCACAUCAUUCUCCUAAUGAUGUGAUCCCGUAUCAAUGACAUCCAAUGUCCAUGGUCAGGAAACCAUAACCAUCUAUUGAUCAACGAGCUAGUCAACUAGAGGCUCACUAGGGACAUGUUGUGGUCUAUGUAUUCACACAUGUAUUACGGUUUCCAGUUAAUACAAUUAUAGCAUGAACAAUAGACAAUUAUCAUGAAUAAGGAAAUAUAAUAAUAACCAUUUUAUUAUUGCCUCUAGGGCAUAUUUCUGACAUCUUCGCCAUGGUUACAGCUCCAUCUUGGGCCCUCCCAAUAUCAGAAUUUCUGGAGAACGGGGUUCUCCCCAUGGACAAGACCGAAGCUCGACAGGUGCAGCGCCGGGCGUCCGCCUACAGCAUCAUCAACAACGAGCUCGUCAAGCGCAGCUCCACCGGUGUUUUCCAGUGUUGCGUCGAGCAGGAACAUGGCAUCGACAUCCUCCUCGACAUCCACCAGGGCGAGUGUGGGCACCACGCCGCAUCGAGAUCCCUGGUGGUCAAGGUGUUCCACCACGGUUUCUACUGGCCCAUGGCCCUCGAAGACGCCGAGUCGCUCGUUCUCAAGUGUGAAGGGUGCCAGCGCUUCAGCAAACGCAGCCACCAGCCGGCGUCAGCACUCCGCACCAUACUGAUCGCCUGGCCCUUCGUGGUCUGGGGACUCGACAUGGUGGGACCCUUCAAAACCGCUCGAGGCGGCAUGACGCACCUGCAUGUGGCAGUGGACAAAUUCACCAAGUGGAUCGAGGCAAGACCAAUCAAGAAACUGGACGGGCCAACAGUCGUCCGGUUCAUCAAGGACAUAGCGGUACGCUACGGCAUGCCAAACAACAUCAUCACCGACAAUGGCACCAACUUUGCCAAGGGUGCGCUCAAGCAAUACUUCUCUAUCUCUGGCAUCCGCCUCGACCUGGCCUCUGUUGCGCAUCUGCAGUCCAACAGGCAGGUCGAGCGGGCCAACGGACUCAUCCUGUCUGGCAUCAAGCCGCGACUCGUUGAGCCACUCAUCCGCUCACUCGGCAGCUGGCUCAACGAGUUGCCGGCCGUUCUCUGGAGUCUUCGCACCAUGCAGAAUCGGUCGACCGGGUUCACCCCGUUCUUCCUCGUCUACGGAGCCGAAGCCAUCAUCCCGACUGACGUCGAUUUCGACUCGCCGCGCAUCGCGAUGUACACCGAAGCCGAAGCCAGAGAAGCCCGCGAAGAUGGCGUCGACCUACUCAAAGAAGCACGCCUCGUGGCGCUCAGUCGCUCGGCCAUCUACCAGCAAGGCCUGAGGCACUACCACAUCAAGAAGAUCAAGCCCCUCGCAUUCCGCGAGGGCAACCUCGUCCUCCGACUCAUCCAAGGCAGGCAGGCCAGCACAAGCUGUCCCCUCCAUGGGAGGGCUCAUUCAUCAUGAGCAGGGCCUUACGCGAUCGCAACGCCUACUACCUCAUCGAUGCACGCAAGUCAAAGAAGCGCAAGAAGGACACCGCUGGUGAAGAAACGACCCGGCCAUGGAACGCGGAACUCCUCCGCCCAUUUUACUGUUAGCCGCGCAAGUGUAUGUAUCGUCGCCAUUUGUAAAUGCAUGAAACUAUGGGGUCCCCAAACAAGACUCGGGGGUUGCCUUUUGUCGACCAAUUUAUUGUGUCCCUAUUUUUCUGCAUCACUAUACCACUGAACCCGGCCACCGGACCGACUCGCUCGACCCGGAGGCUCGGGGGCUGGCCGGCUCGGUCGCCACCCCGCCGCCUUACUUGGUGAUUCCUGAGAAAGUUAGGAUGCCGCGGUCCCCCACUUCGCCCUAAAGCCACAGAUCUAGCUUUGGCUGUCGGCUGGCAAGCACAAUGGGCCAAAGCUCCUUUACGCUUCAUACACUAAGUCAAAGGCUGUCUGGUUGAUCAACCCGGCCCGCCAUUCAUCAAAUGAACAACCGCACAACCGGCUGCUCGCCAACCGGCUUCGCCGGAUUGCCGCCAGCCGGCCCAGUGGGUGUUUCGCUCGCGCUCAACGUUUCAAAGGACCCAAGUCUUGCACGCUCCUUUCGAAGAAUCGAACUCCUUGUCACAGACCGGAGCCUCGGCUGUCUGACUCGCGGGGGGGGGGGAGGUUUGAGAAAGGAAAAGCGCAUGAAGUCAGUCUGAAAAACGGAAGGCAAAAAGCAAAAGCACUCACGACAUGUACACAAACAUUUAACAAAAGGCCCACGGCCCGAGUUCAUUACACCCUANNNNNNNNNNNNNNNNNNNNNNNNNNNNNNNNNNNNNNNNNNNNNNNNNNNNNNNNNNNNNNNNNNNNNNNNNNNNNNNNNNNNNNNNNNNNNNNNNNNNNNNNNNNNNNNNNNNNNNNNNNNNNNNNNNNNNNNNNNNNNNNNNNNNNNNNNNNNNNNNNNNNNNNNNNNNNNNNNNNNNNNNNNNNNNNNNNNNNNNNNNNNNNNNNNNNNNNNNNNNNNNNNNNNNNNNNNNNNNNNNNNNNNNNNNNNNNNNNNNNNNNNNNNNNNNNNNNNNNNNNNNNNNNNNNNNNNNNNNNNNNNNNNNNNNNNNNNNNNNNNNNNNNNNNNNNNNNNNNNNNNNNNNNNNNNNNNNNNNNNNNNNNNNNNNNNNNNNNNNNNNNNNNNNNNNNNNNNNNNNNNNNNNNNNNNNNNNNNNNNNNNNNNNNNNNNNNNNNNNNNNNNNNNNNNNNNNNNNNNNNNNNNNNNNNNNNNNNNNNNNNNNNNNNNNNNNNNNNNNNNNNNNNNNNNNNNNNNNNNNNNNNNNNNNNNNNNNNNNNNNNNNNNNNNNNNNNNNNNNNNNNNNNNNNNNNNNNNNNNNNNNNNNNNNNNNNNNNNNNCAUUCAUCAAAUGAACAACCGCACAACCGGCUGCUCGCCAACCGGCUUCGCCGGAUUGCCGCCAGCCGGCCCAGUGGGUGUUUCGCUCGCGCUCAACGUUUCAAAGGACCCAAGUCUUGCACGCUCCUUUCGAAGAAUCGAACUCCUUGUCACAGACCGGAGCCUCGGCUGUCUGACUCGCGGGGGGGGGGAGGUUUGAGAAAGGAAAAGCGCAUGAAGUCAGUCUGAAAAACGGAAGGCAAAAAGCAAAAGCACUCACGACAUGUACACAAACAUUUAACAAAAGGCCCACGGCCCGAGUUCAUUACACCCUAAAAAAACAGUGGGCGGGUGGACCUGCUACUUAACAAAUUUUGCAAAGUAUCUCAGGCAUCUCCAGCACCGCAUCGUGAAGUCGAGGGCCCUCCCCUGGCAGCCUUCGGGUCCGGCGAGUCGCCGGUGUCCUCCUCGGCAUCCGCGUCACCAUAGACGCCCGUCUCCUCCGAGCUCCCCUCCGGAUCAUGGAGAAGCAAGCCGUAGUCGUCGCCAUCCACGGCCCUGCCGUCUUCCAUUCGCUCCGGAUGGAACUCAUCGUGGAAGGCGAACUCGGCGAUGUAGCUGGCCCGAGAGGCGAUCCGGACGGCUUGCUCCUGCAGCAACUGCUCCGAGCCGGCCUGCUGGCCCAUCAACGCGUCCAGCUGAACAUCCGGAUGCCAAGAUAGCGCAAACCGGAGCGCCAUCUCGGCACCGGCACGAGCGGCGGAGACACGCCACUCGCCAAGCCGGUCCGGGCCCGUCUCCAACCAGCACGCCAGGCGCGUGAAGGUCCAACGCCGCCUCCUCCUGGGUCUAAGGCCCGAAGACAGCAGCGCCCCCGCUCCAUGCCGGCUGCGCGCGGCAACUCGACACCCUCCCUGCCGGGGCACCAAGGCGUGCCCACCGCUGGCCGCUUGCGACGCGGCCAGCACCUCCUUCGACGCCCCUCCCGGCGCCGACGAUGACCCGGACGCCGGGACGCCCUGCGUCACCACCACCGGCGCAGCUGCCGGGGUGGCCUCCGGCACCGCCGCCUGCAGUGCCUCCUCCAUAGCCGGCGGCGCCUCUUCCAAGAUGACGCCACCUCCACCACCAUCAGCCCGCGCGCGCUCGACCACGUCGGCCCGCGGCGGGGUAUCGCCCCCCACCUCCACCACCUGCUAGUCGAGGAUCACCACCUCAGCCCGGCCUCCAUGGCCGCGCUCCCUCACCGAUGACGGCUCAAAGACCGUCGCCGCCACCACCGUGCCCUCCGGCAUCUCGCGCCAGGCCGGCUCGCGCCUAUGCCGCCGCCGCAUCGAUCCAAGCCUGGACCGACGCCGCCUCCAGCUCCGCCUCGUCCCGGUUCCUGUCCUGCCAGGCCAAGGCUUUGGCGUCGUUCAGGUCCAGGCCAAGGUUCGAGUCGGCCCGUACCUCCACCUCGACCUGGUUGGCGAGGUCGGACCGGCUCCUGCGGAACGCUACCCCUUCGGCAGUUGUGGCUUCUGCUGCCGCCCUCGCCAGCGCGAUUGGCGACCUGAAGAAGAAGACAGAAUGAGCAAAAAAGAAACAAGACUAGCUCAAAAAAUCCGGGCGCAAACAAGAAAUGAAGGUUACCCUGUCAAGACCGGGACCGGGGUUGGCCUCCUGUGCCCGCCGCCGCGCUUCUUCUUGGCCGGCCUCUCGGCCCCUGCCGGGUCCGCUGUACGCUUCGGGGCCCGGGGUCGCGGUGCGACACUGUCUUUCCCAUACAGGCGGCUCGGCGCUGCCCCAUGCGAGGACCCGGCUCCGCCUGCAUCGCCGUCUCCCCCGCCCAGUGCCACUACACCAACAGCCGGCGUCAGCAUCGCCCACGCCGCGCCAUGAUCAGCAUUUCAAGACACAUGAACAGAGAAAACAUAUAGAACUUACCCGCGCGACGCCUAGCGCCGGCGUCGGACUCGGCCACCUCCUCCUCGCCAGGGGCCGCGGGCUCCUCUGGCGCCACCGACACCACCUGCGAGGAGCCUGGGCGUAAGGAUGCCGAAUCACGUUCAGAAGUAUCACCCGCGUCGCGUCGGGACGAAGGAGAAGGUGCGCCGCAGCAAAGUAAGAAGACCAAACACUCACCUGCGGCACCGGGUUUGACUCGCUGUACGGCGCCUUGCCGAACUGUCAGUCCUCUCCAAGGUUGGCCUUGGAGAUGUCGUUCACGCCGCGCGCAAUCUGCUCCGCGGACAGCCACGUCGACCCCAUGCUGUUGGGGUCCUGAAGGCCGAUCAUUUCUCCAAUGAGGCAGGAGCGCCUCUGGAGCGGAAGGACCCGGCGCAUGAUGAACGCGACAAGGAGGUUGGUGCCAGUGAGCCCCUCCUACGUCCUCAUCACCGUCACCCGCUCGCACAGGUUGACGAUCUCCUGCGACGGGCGCCUGAGCGAGUAGCCCCAGUUCGUCUUCGCCCGCGGCGGCGCGAUGGCGAAGAGCGGAAGGUUGAUGUGGUCCACACCAAGGUUGCAGACGUAGAAGAAGGAGUUCUGCCACUUCUUGGCAGAAUCCUCCAGCGGGAUCUUGGGGACAUCCGCCCCCGACCGCUUCGAGAUGAUGGCGGCGCCGUAGUCGGUGAACUCCCCGGCCGAUGGGCCCUGCUGCUUCAAGGAGAAGAAGCGUGCCAAGAGGUUGAUCGUGGGCUCGACCCCCAGGUACCCCUUGUAGAGGGUGACGAAGCCGGAGAGCUGGACGAUGGUGCCGGCGCCAAGAUGAUGCGGCUGGAGCCCGAAGAACUCCAGGAACGCGCGGAAGAAGGUGCUCGCCGGCAGCCUGAACCUGGGCUCGAAGUGUGUGAGGAAGACCACGCGCUCCUGCUCCUCGGGCAGAGGCCUCUGCUCGCCGUGUGGCAGGCGAACGCCGACGUCCAUCUCCCGCGGCAAGCGCUGCGACGCCCGAAGCUGGAUGAUGUCCUCGGUGGUGAUGUUCGAGCCCAUCCAGGAGCCUGACGACAGCGCCAUGGACGAAAGAAGAAGGAAGCAGAUGGACGAUGGAGGAAGUUCUGCUUGGAGCAGCGGGCGCCGCAGUGCGUCGGUUGCAAAGAGCGGAGCGAGAGCAAAGGGACAGGAGGGUGCGAGCGAGAAUAAUGUCUGCCGCCCCCUGCCCCCCAAUUUAUAACCCUCGGUUCAAACGUGGGGGAGUGGGAUCGUCUGCACGCGCCCGUUCCACUACCCCGCAAUAAGUGCGCACGUACACGUGCAGUAACUUUCCGGGGAAGUGCAACCGACCCCCGGAAGCCGCAAUAAAUCCGCGUGCGUGGGCCAAGGGCACGCGGCGGUGGGUCCCAUCCCGUCGCCCAGUCCCGUCACGCGUGUGGCCUGUCAGGCCCCUCCGGCUUCCGGCCACCACGUGGCGCCCGCGCAAAGCCUGAGGGAUUGCCCCAAGAUUUGACGGACUACUCGGUUCCCGCCACGGCCGGGAUGCCGCAAUCCGGUUUCCGAGAAAAACCGGCACAUAAUGGGUGUUGCCGGACCCGGCGCUUGCAGAAUCCCCCUUGCUUAAGGGGAAAACUGUGAAGGCACACUCAUCCGAAGACGGCGGACCUUCACAGCUUCGGGGACUACUGUCGGGGGGAUGAACCACGGGCAGGCAACGGAACCCGGAUCCUCUUCAAAAAUAGUGGGGCCCACAUCACCCCUCAAACCGGCACGCGCCCGGCCGGGUCGCUCGACCCGGCAAGGCCCGCAACCGGCCAAACUCUCCGACCCGGCAAGGUACGUCGACCCGGCCUCAGCAACUGGCGCAAGGCAGCCGAACCCGGUACGACCAAGGCUUCCCCAACAAGCCGACCCCACCCGUGGCGUACACCGCAAUCCAGCCACGGGUCAAGCUCCCGUCCCAUCCAGGCCGUACGAUGGGACGAGACCUCAAUCACUGAUGACCAAGACAACAGUGCUUCCACCCAUGCCUAUGGUCAGCCGGAGCGUGGCAACAGUGCCCCUCACCUACCCGCUGGCCGGGGCUGGCGUGGCAACAGUGCUCCCACCCUCACCGCUGACGGCAGCAAGCGGCAACCUGACGGAGAUCACUGUACGCGACUCGACUCGGCCAGGCCCUGACGAUCGACAAGACGGCGCACAGUCCCCCUAGACAUGCGGGGCCCACACCUAGGGGAACCUGGCGAACCACAAGCCCUCAGCGGGACCCAUCCCGGCAUCCCGGACACUGACAAUACAGACCCAUCGACUCGACGUAUUACCAUUGUAACCCUGGGGGGUUUGAUCUAUAAAAUCCCCCAGGAACCCACGCCUACUGGGGCAUGUACAAGGUAGCAUGUGAGAAACAGAUACAAGGGACAAGCAAGCAAGCAUAGGACUAGCCACCAAACCGCAACACCGGAGAGAAGGAGCAGCCCAAGCCUUGGCCAGCUUCCUUCCUCCUCCAUACAGCUCCAGGAGCAACAUUGUACUAUCGAUCAUCCAACUACACUCGGCAGGACUAGGGGUAUUAUCUCUCCGGAGAGCCACGAACCUGGGUAUGUCUAGCGUCCCGCGCCCGCUCAUGCCAACCUCGCCUCUGGAGACCACCAGCGCCCUCGAGUCUCCUCCUCUCUUUAGCCAUCCCUUGGCAUCUGCCGUGCGCCCACCACGACACUUAUAAUCCAAUAAUGCAUGUUGCAUGAUCAAGGAUUCUCAUAGGUAGAUCGGACGAAUGCUAGUUGAUCUAGAUAGUAAAUCUAACAUCUAUAACAACUCUAAUGAUGUGAAAGCAUGCAUGUUGAGAUAAUUAAAAGUAGCGGGAUCACUCUUUUAGAUAGGUUAUGAUCCAAAUAAAACACAUCAGUUUGUAUUGAAUUCGACAAUUGUUAGAACACUAUACUUUUUGUUCAGGGAUUGCCUACUUCCGCUUGGUCAAUAUGCAUGUGACAUUUUCUAUCUGCCCACGACACCACUCACAAAAUUAGAAUCGCCUUUUCUAUUUCUAUUGCUUCAUAUAGGAAUGUUAAGACGUCACCUACUCCAUGAUUUGGACACUACACGAUUAAAUGCAUGAAGCAUGUUUUGCGGCACACACCAAAAUAAAAGAUUAGGAUUGCUUUUACAGAAAUAAAGAAUAAACGCCAAUGGAUGUCUCACAACCCUCUUGAGGGCGUCGUGGUCUCCCUCCCUGUUCUAGGGUUCAAGUUGAAAACCCAAGUUCAUUCCUUUGGACGCGACAAGGACGAUGCUCUACGUCACUACCCUAUUGGGUGCGUUGAGGUGGAACUCUGGUACCUUUCGUUUGCGGUGGAAGGUCGUCUUAGGGCAUGCUUGGAUUGUACCUCGAAGUAUCUUGGGUUCCAAAGUGGGAUGGUCCAGUUGGUCUCUUAUCGGUUCCAUGCGACUGCGUCGGCAUCGCUAUUGGCCUGUACUACUCCUCGGUCCGGAGUGAGAGGGCAGGUGUGGCCCUCUCUGACGACAUUUGACGAGGGCUUUGUUGCACGGUCCAAUGGUUCCUUUUGAAGACGUGAGCUCAUACGGUAUCGCCACCAGAGGCGAUUUGCUGGAGUCUGCCUACUCAUGUACUCUUUCUCGCUGGCGCAACCAUACGCUUGUAGUGUGUCUCGUGUGUGUUGUCUAUGUUAUAUCUUGGACCCUGAUAAGUGCUAUACCUAUGCCACGAACACAUGACAACUUCAAGCAUUUUUAUGGCAAUUUUAGUGACGUCAGGAUGACAACUUUAAUUGUCAGGCAUGAGAACUUCUUUUCGGAUGGCAAGUUUCAAUUUUUUUUUCUUUUCGGAUGGCAAUUUUAGUUCAAAAAACGUCAGGGCCGGAGUGCUUCGUGUCACUUGUGUGGCACUCAUCAUUUGGAUACAUCUUUUGUUGCCAGCUCUUUCUUUAAUAUGUUUUUCAUAAAAGGAUUUCCUUGUGUAUUGUUCAUCAGUCCGGGUUUUAUACAUUAAUUUUUUUUGAGAAUGGGUUUUAUACAUUAAUAAUGCGGAGUCGAUGUCUAUUUUUUGAAAUAAAGAAAACGGCCCAAAGGCCUGAAACCACCAAUGAACAGAGAUGGGAAAACAUCAAAUAAAAAGGUUGAGAAAAGAAUGUUUGAGUUCAGGUCCCCAACCAAAUCGAGUGAGGAUGAGUUCUUGGACUCUUUUUUGUAGAACAUAUAUUACGAUGGACUCUUUACCGGGCGUAUCCCUACCAAACAAAUCACGUUUAACACGAGCAAUACGUAGUUACGUGCUGUUCCCAAACAUACUCCUAUUUAUUCUUCGCCUUGAGUUGCUCGACAAAAUCGGCGAUCAUCAUGCUACCGGCGAAGAAACGAGCGGGGCACCACCGCAGUCCGUGGUCCGACCUCCCGCACGAUCUGCUUACAACCAUCCUCGUCCGUCUCACCGCAACCUCCCCGGCCCUUCGCGACCGCGCCCGCUUCGGCGGCGUGUGCCAGACAUGGCGUGCCGCCGAGCGCGCCCACCCGCGCCCUCCUGUGCCAUGGCUCGUCGCCCCUGGGCACUACGUCAGCCUCCACGACGCCGCCAUCUACCGCGUCCCGCUGCCCGAGGACGCCGCCGCUGCCACCUGUCGAGGUUCCUUCGGCGACUGGCUCGCCCUCGUGCCGCCGGUGUCAGGGCGCCCCUUCUUGCUCAACGCUUUCACAAAGGAGCGAAUCAGGCUGCCGCGGUGGACGAAAGAGCCGAUGGUUAAGUUUGUCCUGUCGUCCAAGCCGGAUGCCAAGGCUUGCACUGUGGCUGCCAUUGUUGAGAUUGGAGACGGCGCCUACAGGAUGAGUUGUAAGGUCGUUAUCUGCCACCUGAGGCGGGGACGACAACAAGGGCGCUCCUGGGAGAUCCUGACUAAGGCGUUCAAGCUCCAAGACAUCACCUUCUUCGAGGGGAAACUCCAUGCCCUUGACACAGAAGCCUGCCUCCAUGUCUUCCAGGAAGAAGACCUACAACAGCGCCCUCAUCAGCGGUGGAGCAUGCCACCUGCGAAGCAGCAAUUCUACGACGUCAAGCUGCACCUGGUUGUCCUCCAUGGGAGGCUGCACAUGGUCGGCAGGGGCUUAGGGACGACCCGGUGGACGACAUUCACCAACAAUAUAGGGGUCUUCGCGCUCGUCGGCGAGAUGACGAAGCCACCGGUGCCAGUCAAGGACUUUGACGGGCACGCGAUCUUUGUCGGCGACGCCUGCUGCGACGCUUUCGUAGUUGAGGCAGCUGCUUUAGGCCGCAUGAUAAGAGAGAACCAGAUUUGUUUCGUCGACGACGAGAAGAACAUGAUGUCGCUGGCCACCACCGGCCGCCGGCCUUUCCGGCUGCUGCAAUCCUACGACGUGCGCAACGGCUGCCUCCGCGCAUACGGACCCAGCACCGCCGCGGUGGGGACCUGGCGGUGCGUCACGGCACAGCGUUUCCCGCAGAGCAGCGCCAUUGGACCACCGCUGCGGGCCUCUCUGUCGAAGGCGGAGCUGCUGCUGUGGAACGUGGCCAACUGCCUGGGAGCAUGGGACCGGCCCUUAUAUACAACGCGCCAUCAGGACGAUGGCGCAGGCGUCGCCGUGACAGUGGAGAUCGAGGUGCCCAAGACAUCCAGAAUAAUGGAAGGGGAAGAGCCCCUCUUUGAGUGGAGUUUCACGCAGCAGCGGGGGUCAGCCAAGAAAGCGAAGCAGGCGGCGGCGCACGAGGCCGUCACGUUCCUGCGGAGUCGGUUUCGCAGCAUCCUAGACGACAGCCCCUGGAGCUCCGUCCCUCACUACCAUAGCCACGUCGACGAGGAGGAAGAAGCAGUCCAAGAAGACGACGCCGAAGGCGGCAGUUUGUUUGGGUAUACACAUUGGUACGGUGACAUUAACUACUAGCUAAGGUGCUCUGCUUUGGCCUUCCGUUGAGCGUCACUUGCUUUGCUCUGCAGAAACGUGUUGGGCGUGUGCAAAACAUGCGCUUGAUUGGAGAGAUCAAGAACUCGUGUUUAUGCAAUGUUAUAAAAGAGUCGGCUUGGUUUUUAAUAGGACUCCAUAGCUAUAUAUAAACAUGUCAUGCCAGUAAAAGUUUGCAUUAGUUGAGUGUAUCUAAGUCACAUGUAAAAGUUGACGACAUAGUCCGGUCCUUUCAUCACACUUAACUUCACUCCCCUUCGCCACCCGAGCUCACCUUUGGCGGUUUCCGACAUUCUUCGCCAUGGCAGGCAAUGGAUCGGACUCCGACCAGUCCGGAUCCGUUGAUUGGGAUGUCAUCCCAUAUGGGUUGGAGGAGGCAAUGUCAAUCCGCAUUGCACUCCGCCGCUCCCGGGAGGACAGCGCCCGACCGACAGACGGAUCCGUCCGCCGCGACGCCACAGCGUCGGCUCAUCGGGCGCUUGGGUCCUCUGGUGCUGGAUCCUCGCAGUACCGGCCGGAACACCUGUCCUUCCCCAUCAUCGGUCGGGCAGAGUAUGAGUGCCACCGGGAACGGGCGGCCAUACUGCGUCUUUGACCGGUACAUCCGCGAGAAGGACGGGAAGAGCGCCGGGAAGAGUAAGGGCAACCGUGGAUGAAUUCCACCGUAGCCAAACAUGCCUAAUUUUGGUAGCCCGAUGACAUGUUUAGUGUAGUGUGAUGGAGUAACCGAACGAUGUGUGUACGUCAACGUAGUUGCAUGAGUUUUUAUGGAUUUGAGAUAUGGUAACUUAGGUGUCCGGAUGUGGAUUAUAUAUUUUGAGAAGUGUCCGAUCAAUGUCCGCGGAUUUUUGAGUGGCCGGAUUUGCCAAGUCCGCCUAUAGAUGCUACAAUGUUUUUGGCUUCGGCUAAGUUUCGGUUAGAGAAGUUGUCUAACCUGUUAUCGAUGAUCAGUUAGAUGCUCUUACCCUGCAUUCAAUCUUUUUUGAUCAAUUAUAAGUGACAUAUACUUUAGGAAAAACUGACGCAUUAGUAGCAUUUAUAAUAACGAGAAUGCUAAAUUCCUGCCGACUGGCAGUUUGCAUCAGAUCCGAACGAUCCGGAUCUCGUUCAUUCGGAAUCGAAUGGCAGUUAUCGAAGCGAGAAAAAGAAAGGGGCGUGGACGAGAAUCGAACCCCCGACGUCCUUGUAGGCACGCCACCGAACUAACCAUCUCACCCAAACUUCGUAGUUGUUAAAAUUGCGAACACCCUGGAUUUAAUGCAUAGUGGUCUUUUUUUGAGAUUAAAAAUCUGAAGAAGUUGCUAAUUUGAUGGCGCAUUUAGCGGAAAGACUUCCUGAAACGUUGAUGUCCGUGAUUUUCUCUCUGGAUUAGAUCCAUCAUGAUUUUUUCUGUGUGCUAGAUCUAUUGAUAGACCCUAUUUACAGGAAUUUUUUAGUCAAGAAAAUUGAUUCUCAAUAUAGGAUUCGAACCCACAGCAAGCAGCUUACGUGAAACACUUACCACUAGUAGAAAAGGGGCCAAUGGUCCAGGCCGGUCCAGCCCAUUAGUCCCGGUUUAACCCAGAACAGGGACCAAUGAUGGCAUUGGACCCGGUUCGUGAGCCCCGGGGGCCGGCCGGGCCACGUGGGCCAUUGGUCCCGGUUGGAGGGACGAACCGGGACCAAUGGUUCUCGCUCCUGGCCCACCAUCAUUGGUCCCGGUUGGUGGCAUGAACCGGGACCAAAGGCUGCCCUUUAGUCCCGGUUCAUGCCACCAACCGGGACGAAACGGUUGGUCCUUGUUGCGGUCACAGUUUAGUCCCACCUCGCCAACUGAAGGGGAAUUAGACCGGUUUAUUUUCUUUUUUGCUAUAUUUAUUUUUUUCUUUUUAUUUCUGAGUUGUAAUAAUUCAUUAAAAAUANNNNNNNNNNNNNNNNNNNNNNNNNNNNNNNNNNNNNNNNNNNNNNNNNNNNNNNNNNNNNNNNNNNNNNNNNNNNNNNNNNNNNNNNNNNNNNNNNNNNNNNNNNNNNNNNNNNNNNNNNNNNNNNNNNNNNNNNNNNNNNNNNNNNNNNNNNNNNNNNNNNNNNNNNNNNNNNNNNNNNNNNNNNNNNNNNNNNNNNNNNNNNNNNNNNNNNNNNNNNNNNNNNNNNNNNNNNNNNNNNNNNNNNNNNNNNNNNNNNNNNNNNNNNNNNNNNNNNNNNNNNNNNNNNNNNNNNNNNNNNNNNNNNNNNNNNNNNNNNNNNNNNNNNNNNNNNNNNNNNNNNNNNNNNNNNNNNNNNNNNNNNNNNNNNNNNNNNNNNNNNNNNNNNNNNNNNNNNNNNNNNNNNNNNNNNNNNNNNNNNNNNNNNNNNNNNNNNNNNNNNNNNNNNNNNNNNNNNNNNNNNNNNNNNNNNNNNNNNNNNNNNNNNNNNNNNNNNNNNNNNNNNNNNNNNNNNNNNNNNNNNNNNNNNNNNNNNNNNNNNNNNNNNNNNNNNNNNNNNNNNNNNNNNNNNNNNNNNNNNNNNNNNNNNNNNNNNNNNNNNNNNNNNNNNNNNNNNNNNNNNNNNNNNNNNNNNNNNNNNNNNNNNNNNNNNNNNNNNNNNNNNNNNNNNNNNNNNNNNNNNNNNNNNNNNNNNNNNNNNNNNNNNNNNNNNNNNNNNNNNNNNNNNNNNNNNNNNNNNNNNNNNNNNNNNNNNNNNNNNNNNNNNNNNNNNNNNNNNNNNNUGCUUCUAUUUAUUUCUGAGUAGUUUUUUAUAUAGUUUUUUUUUCUUUUCUGCUAUAUUUAUUUUUUUUCUUUUUAUUUCUGAGUUGUAAUAAGUCAUUAAAAAUAAGCAUCUAUGCUCAUUUUUUAGUUAAGUUAAUCACAACUAUUAAAAAUAAGUCAUUAAAAAUAAAAAAGAGGCGCAAUGCUCGUUAAUUUGCUUUAAGCCUUUCGGAAUAGUGUCAGUUGCACUGCCCAUAGCUCUGUGCAGUCUACCCUAUUCCUCAAGGCUUGAAGCUAACCAACGUGCAGGUGAGCAUUGAGCCUCUUCUUCAUCGUCUCUGCACUCAGGGCUUAUAAACAGCUGCGAGUGCCUCUCGCUUGGCGAGGUGAGACUAAAAAAACAGCUGCAGAAAGAAUCAACUAAAAAACAGCUGCAGAAAAUAAAAAAUUAGACGGGUCCAUUGGUACCGGUUGGUGGUGCCAACCGGUACCAAUGCCCCUCUUUUGUACCGGUUGGUGCCACCAACCGGUACCAAUGCCCCUCUUUUGUCCCGGUUAGAGCCACCAACCGGGACCAAAGGUCUUCGUUUCCCGCCCUUUGGGCUGCCGAAAAGAGGCCUUUGGUCCCGGUUGGUGACUCCAACCGAGACAAAAGAGAGGCAUUGGUCCCGGUUUGUGGCACGAACCGGGACCAAAGCCUUUGCUAUAUAAGUAGCAGUGCCGCCCCGCCCCGACUUCGAUCUCUCCCGAUGCCGCGCGCCAUCCCCUGCCGCCACCUCGCCGUCGCCGCCCCACCCCGACGCCAUCGCCGCCCACCCUGCCNNNNNNNNNNNNNNNNNNNNNNNNNNNNNNNNNNNNNNNNNNNNNNNNNNNNNNNNNNNNNNNNNNNNNNNNNNNNNNNNNNNNNNNNNNNNNNNNNNNNNNNNNNNNNNNNNNNNNNNNNNNNNNNNNNNNNNNNNNNNNNNNNNNNNNNNNNNNNNNNNNNNNNNNNNNNNNNNNNNNNNNNNNNNNNNNNNNNNNNNNNNNNNNNNNNNNNNNNNNNNNNNNNNNNNNNNNNNNNNNNNNNNNNNNNNNNNNNNNNNNNNNNNNNNNNNNNNNNNNNNNNNNNNNNNNNNNNNNNNNNNNNNNNNNNNNNNNNNNNNNNNNNNNNNNNNNNNNNNNNNNNNNNNNNNNNNNNNNNNNNNNNNNNNNNNNNNNNNNNNNNNNNNNNNNNNNNNNNNNNNNNNNNNNNNNNNNNNNNNNNNNNNNNNNNNNNNNNNNNNNNNNNNNNNNNNNNNNNNNNNNNNNNNNNNNNNNNNNNNNNNNNNNNNNNNNNNNNNNNNNNNNNNNNNNNNNNNNNNNNNNNNNNNNNNNNNNNNNNNNNNNNNNNNNNNNNNNNNNNNNNNNNNNNNNNNNNNNNNNNNNNNNNNNNNNNNNNNNNNNNNNNNNNNNNNNNNNNNNNNNNNNNNNNNNNNNNNNNNNNNNNNNNNNNNNNNNNNNNNNNNNNNNNNNNNNNNNNNNNNNNNNNNNNNNNNNNNNNNNNNNNNNNNNNNNNNNNNNNNNNNNNNNNNNNNNNNNNNNNNNNNNNNNNNNNNNNNNNNNNNNNNNNNNNNNNNNNNNNNNNNNNNNNNNNNNNNNNNNNNNNNNNNNNNNNNNNNNNNNNNNNNNNNNNNNNNNNNNNNNNNNNNNNNNNNNNNNNNNNNNNNNNNNNNNNNNNNNNNNNNNNNNNNNNNNNNNNNNNNNNNNNNNNNNNNNNNNNNNNNNNNNNNNNNNNNNNNNNNNNNNNNNNNNNNNNNNNNNNNNNNNNNNNNNNNNNNNNNNNNNNNNNNNNNNNNNNNNNNNNNNNNNNNNNNNNNNNNNNNNNNNNNNNNNNNNNNNNNNNNNNNNNNNNNNNNNNNNNNNNNNNNNNNNNNNNNNNNNGUAAUUAAUAUGUAGUUCAUAUUUUUAGUAAGUACUAUUUUAUUUUAUUUAUAGUAAGUGCUUCAUAUAUAUAUAGUUGAACUAGCUAGUUGAUUUAAUAAACUAAUUUAUUUUACUAUAUAUAGAAGUAGUUUGUUUUUAGUAAGUAGUACUUUAUUUAUUUAUAGUAAGUGCUUAAUUAGUAGUUGAACUAGAUAGUUGAUUUAAUUAAUAAAACUACUUUAUUUAACUAUAUAUAGAAGUAGUUCCCGCAUCGACGUCGGCGAUGCCUAUCCCGCAUCCUCGUCGUCGUCGACUCGGCGGUGGAGGCUUGCUUGAUCAGGGCCAUGUUCGGGACUGGGCUCCGCCGGACUGGUAUUGGGAGCUGCUACCUUCCGGCGGACGUAGGUUGGUGAGGAGGCAGCCCGUUGUUGACCCGAUCCUUGUUUGGUGGCGAUCGUGUGGGCCAGUGACGGCGUCGAGGCUUCCGAACACCACGGAGGUGGUACGUCACCGUGUCAGCGAGGAGGACGAGCACGUCCGUUGCUACAUGGUUGCAUUGGAGGGCAGGUUCGACAAUACCUGGCAGGUUCUUCAGGGAUCUCACUAGAGCUAUGAUCCUGUGAUGGUUCCUUAUCUUUGGGUGUCCACCGCCCGCAUCGAUACCCGUCGGGCGCUACGGUUCUAGUUGUAUUUAGUGAUGCUAUAUUAGUGAUUGAAAGAUCGAGGAUGUCGCCUAGAGGGGGGGUGAAUAGGCGCUUUAAAAUAAUUACAGUUUAGGCUUGAACAAAUGCGGAAUAAACCUAGCGGUUAAUUUGUCAAGCACAAAACCUACAACAACUAGGUCACCUAUGUGCACCAACAACUUAUGCUAAGCAAGAUAAGCAACUAUGUGAUAGCAAGAUAUAUGACAAAAACAAUAUGGCUAUCACAAAGUAAAAUGCAUAAGUAAAGGGGCUCGGGUAAGAGAUAACAAAGGCACGCGGAGACGAUGAUGUAUCCCGAAGUUCACACCCUUGCGGAUACUAAUCUCCGUUUGGAGCGGUGUGGAGGCACAAUGCUCCCCAAGAAGCCACUAGAGCCACCGUAAUCUCCUCACGCCCUCGCACAAUGCAAGAUGCCGUGAUUCCACUAAGGGACCCUUAAGGGCGGUCACCUAACCCGUACAAAUGGUGACCCUUGGGGGCGGUCACCGAACCCGUACACUUUGGCAACCCUUGGGGGAGGUCACCGGUACCCGUCAAAUUGCUCGGGGCGAUCUCCACAACCUAAUUGGAGACCCCGACGCUUGCCCGGAGCUUUACACCACAAUGAUUGAGCUCCGAACACCACCAACCAUCUAGGGCACCAAGGCACCCAAGAGGAACAAGCUCUAGGGUGCCCAAACACCCAAGAAUAAUAAGCUUCUCAAACUUCACUUCCACGUAUCACCGUGGAGAACUCAAACCGAUGCAUCAAAUGCAAUGGCAAGGGCACACGGAGUGCCCAAGUCCUUCUCUCCCAAAUCCCACCAAAGCAACUAAUGCUAGGGAGGAAAAUGAGAGGAAGAACGAAAGAAGAACAUGAAGAACUCCAAGAUCUAGAUCCAAGGGGUUCCCCUCACUUAGAGGAGAAAGUGAUUGGUGGAAACGUGGAUCUAGAUCUCCUCUCUCUUUUCCCUCAAGAACUAGCAAGAAUCCAUGGAGGGAUUGAGAGUUAGCAAGCUCGAAGAAGGUCAACAAUAGGGGAAGAACACGAGCUCAAGGGAUUAGGUUCAUUGGGGAAGAAGACCCCCUUUUAUAGGACAUCCCGAAUCCAACCGUUAUGUGCUCAGGUCGUGCACAAGCGGUACUAUCGCUUGGAGGAGCGGUACUACCGCUUAGCACGGUCAAAACAGCCCAACGAGAAAGAAAACACGAGUUUUUGGUCCGGAGCGGUACUACCGCUUAGGAGCCACGGUAGUACUGCUCUGGAGCGGUACUACCGCUCAGGAGCCGCGGUAGUACCGCUCUGGAGCGGUAGUAAAAAAUUACAUCCGCUCUAGUCGCGGUAGUACCUCUGCAGCCUUUACCAAAACAGCCACAACUUUUGCAAACGGACUCCGAAUUCAACGAAACCAAGUUUGUUGGGAAGCUAAUGACAUGGGCUAACACAAUAUUGAUAGAAAUACAAAGAAUAAGAAAAUGAGAAAAGUCCCAUAAGAAAAUGGUGAGAACCCUUCACCGGAUAAGACCGGUAAAACCUCCAACACCGAAAGCAUCAUAGAAGACGCAUGCGAACUCCAUUUUUGAUGAACUCAAGCUUGUCAUCAAGAUGACCAUAAGCUCUAAGACUCACAAAGAUAACCAAACAAGAACCAAGAAACAUGAUGCAAGGAUGCAAUGGUUUGAUCUCUCUACUAACGAUACGAUCAAGCUACCAACUUGAGAGCCCCCUUUGAUAGUACGUCAAACGAUCCUAUAACUCUGUCUCCCAACUACCACCACAAUACCGGUAAAAUAGAAAAACUAUCAAGGGAAAACCUUUGCCUUGCACAUGGUCCACUUGAGCUAGAUGAAGACGAUCUUGACUCCCUCAAGUUGGACCACCUUUCUUGAUUGCGUUGGCUCGAUGAAGACUAGAUGAUUGCUCCCUCAUAAUUCACUAUGGGUGAGCCACUCUUCGGCACAUCUUCACAAGUCCAUUGACACCACAAUGGAUGGCAAGAUUCAAGCACUUGAUCUCUUCGUGAUGCUGCACUUGAACUUGCACACAGCAAUCUUGAUGACGAUCACCACUUGAUGUCAUCCUUUCCGUGGGUUGUAUGAUAUCUUCCUCUUGACGCAAGCCCAUGGAUACGUACCUAACCCCACAUACAACUCUCACAUAGACCAUGGGUUAGUACAUAAGGUGCAAUGGACAAUGCUUACCAUACCAUGGGAUCACUUGAUCCCUCUCAGUACAUCUUCUACGCUUUGUGAGUUGAUCAACUUGAUUCACUAUUGACUUAGUCUUGAUCAACCUUGAAUCUUUGCAACUCUCUUCAUUUGGAUGAUGUAUUGAAGGUAAACAUGAAUGAUCACACAACCUUCUUCUUCUUCAAGACAUGCUUGCAAUAAGCUCAACACUCGCAUGACCAAUCUUUGGAUAGUUCCUUAAUAGCACCUUGGUCAACUCAUAAAAUCCUUGAAACCAACACAUGGACUUCAAGAAAAGCCUAUGGACAAAUCCUUCAAAUAUAACUCAAGACAACCAUUAGUCCAUAGAGAUUGUCAUCAAUUACCAAAACCAAACAUGGGGGCACCGCAUGUUCUUUCAAUCUCCCCAUUUUGGUAAUUGAUGACAAUCACUUUCAAGAGAGUUUAUAUAAGGAAUUUUGCAUCACCAUGCAAUGCAACAACCAAUAGUGCAUGCGAAUGAGAUGCAAAUGCUAAGGAACAAAACCAAAGCAAGAAGAGAUAACUCUCUAAACUUCUCCACAAAACUCUCUGAAACUUCUCCCCCAUUGGCAUCGAUUGCCAAAAUGGGCGAAAAGCUUAGAAGGCCAAUAUAAAUUGUGGUCCUCCAUAAAUUUGUAUUUCUCAACAAGAGAGUGGAAUGCAAUACACAUAUCCAACUGACAAUACUUGGAGGAAGACAAACUAUAUUGAUGGUUGUUGGUGUCAAAACCGGCGGAUCUCGGGUAGGGGGUCCGAACUGUGCGUCUAGGCAGAUGGUAACAGGAGACGAGGGACACGAUGUUUUUACCCUGGUUCGGGCCCUCUUGAUGGAGGUAAAACCCUACGUCCUGCUUGAUUAAUAUUGAUGAUGUGGGUUACAAGAGUAGAUCUACCAUGAGAUCAAGGAGGCUAAACCCUAGAAGCUAGCCUAUGGUAUGAUUGUUGUUCGUCCUAUGGACUAAAGCCAUCCGGUUUAUAUAGACACCGGAGAGGGCUAGGGUUACACAGAGUCGGUUAAAAAGGUAGGAGAUCUACAUAUCCGUAUUGCCAAGCUUGCCUUCCACGCUAAGGAAAGUCCCAUCCGGACACGGGACGAGGUCUUCAAUCUUGUAUCUUCAUAGUCUUGGAGUCCGGCCGAUGAUGAUAGUUCAGCUAUCCGGACACCCCCUAGUCCGGAACUCCCUCAGUAGCCCCUGAACCAGGCUUCAAUGACGACGAGUCCGGCGCGCAUGUUGUCUUCGGCAUUGCAAGGCGGGUUCCUCCUACGAAUAAUUUAUAGAAGAUUGUGAACACCAGGAUAGUGUCCGGCUCUGCAAAAUAAUUUCCACAUACCACCGUAGAGAGAAUAAUAUUCACACAAGUUCAAUCUGCUGACGCAUUCCAUGGCGUGACGUCACACCACAACCAAGCCUUUAUUUGGAACGUUUUUAUUGUACCACUUCAGCGCGUUUAGCGAAGCGGUUUCCUUGGCACGUCCUGUCGAAGCAGAGAUCGUGUUCCCCUUAUUCCAGGAUUCUCAUCAAUACGGACGUGGGUAACCCAACCGCGCUCGUUGCCACGCCCCCUCCAUCGAAGGCGGGUUUCAAACGGUCACGGGGACGGCUCUUAGUAUUCUUCCUCUUUAUAAUGAGACCAAGGCCCGUUCUUUUUAUUCAAUCCUCUAUCGAAUCCGCCCCUCUCCCUGAGUUCCAACACCCAGGGCUCCGAGUUCAGGUACCUUCGAUCCUCGACAAUGUCCGGUCUUGAUCUACGAGGCCGGUGGAUGCCCUCCUCCAUCACGGAGGAGGACGUGCUAAAGCUGAGAGAUGCCAGGUAUUUAACCUACGAGAUUUCGCAUAGGCUGCCUGCCCGAGGGCAAGUUAUCCCAACUCCCGAGCCUGGCGAGAUCGUCGUGUUCAUGUCUCACUUCCGUCGGGGUUUAGGCUUCUCCACGGAUCCCUACAUGAGGGGGCUCAUGUUUUACUAUGGGCUGGAAUUCCACGACCUGGCUCCGGAGUCCAUCCUCCAUAUCUCAUCAUUCAUUGUCAUUUGUGAAGCCUUCCUCCGCACUACCCCUCACUUCGGCUUAUGGCUCAAAACCUUCAACAUGGAGCCGAAGAUGAUUGAGGGGCGUCAGGCAGAGUGCGGCGGGCGGUUAUAAGCUAGAGGGCCGAAGCUCCAUGGCCCAAGGGCUCUUUCCAAGAGGAGCUCGGCUUGUGGCAACAGGAGUGGUUUUAUAUCACCGCUCCCCGGGGUAGCAGGCAGAAGUCGCCGCCCGUCUUUCGCUCGGGCCCUCCACAGCAGCUGACAUCAUGGGUCAACAAGGGGCGUGACUGGGGGCCGCCCAAAGACGUUCCCCUGUUGCAAGACUGGAUUCGAGUCCUCCAAGAAAGGGAGAUCAAUCUGGUCGCAGUGGUGCAGGUCAUGUUGAUCCGGCGCCUACUGCCCUGCAAACGUCGCCCCCUCCGCCUGUGGGAAUUUAAUCCGGAGGGGCCGCGAGCUCUUCAACACUUCAUGGGUUUGACUCCCAUGGAGAUGUAUAAACUGUUCUUCGGAUCGCAAGAGACAAAUCCGGAAUUGAUCGAGGACGCUGGCCUAAGAUGCAAUCGCCCGGAUACUCAAGUAAGUAGCCUGUGUCCGAACACACCGUCCAUUUAUUUAUAGUGAGCUUGCCUUUUAACCAGCUUUCCCUGGACGAGAGUGGAUAGCGCAAGCAAAACUGAUACGGUGUCCGGCCCCCCUCCCUGAGACCAUGCAGGAUCCCGUGUUAAUCAAAAUGUUGGAGGUUGCACCUUCGAAUGAGGGCGAAGGGGGGCACGGGGAAACUGUCACCUAUGCCAAGGAGGUUUUUAGUAAGGGAGGAAUCGAGAGUCCCUCCUUCCAGGGGGAGAAGAGGACCGCUUCCGAAGACCCGGAGGCCAAGGCCUCAAAGCGAGGAAAGAAAUCUCUACCGGAAGGUCCUGCGCCGGGAAGAGCCCCGGCCGUACUGUCUCCUCGGAGGAAUCAGCCCUCUAACGAGCCGUAAGUAAAAAGGGGGAUUUAUAAUUAUUAGACACCCCUGCUUAAUGUCUAAAGGUAACCGAAGUUUUUACCUUGUAGUUCGGAUCUCAGCCCAUCUCAGCACAGCUCAUCUUCGGGAGACCUUCGUCCGGAGAUGAUGGAGAGCAAAACGCCUCCAUCUGCCGCCCCAUCGCAUGGGGCGGACGACCCUGAGGUGUCUUCGCAGAGGGUCUCCCCGAGUCCGGCGGGGCCGGAGAGUUCGGCACCCAUUGGAGUACAGCCGGUGGAGCUGCAGGAUUUGCUUAAGAGGGCGUCCAUCUCAGAAGAUCACCGCACAUUAAUGGGUAAUGUGAUUGAGAGGAUCUCGUCCGCCGAAAGCGGGUUGUAUGAGGCCGUCGGAAGUUUACUGACGGGAUUUGAGGUACGCAAAAAAUGACAUACCUGUUGACAGUUUUGCACAUGAAGUGCGCCCUGUAUAGUAGCCCCUAAGACUUGGUAUGCUGUCGAAAACGGCAGCGUGCCUAAGAUCAUAAUCUCAGUUAUUAACUGUCGCCUUUCCUAUGCAGGUGGCGGAACAUUCGGUGGCCAGCCGGACGGAUGGAUUCGCCGAGCUGAAGAAGCAACUCGACGCUGCAGAUGCGGACAUCUUGCUGGUCAAUAAACGACUUGAUGAGUCACAAGGUAUGUGAUUGCGCCGCGGUCGCUUAGUAAGGGAGCUGAUGCCCAUUCCUUACAAGUUGUAUGCUUGAUGCAGAUGGUGCUGCUGCUAUGGAAGACCUUCGAGCAGAACUUGCUCGGGCCAAGGAGCAAGCCAGAAAAAGCGAGACGGCUGCCUUGAAGGCAGCGAAAGAGCUAGAAGCCGAGAAGGCUGCUCACUGCCGGAGCAGGGAGGAGAUGGCCGGAAUGGCCAUGAAAUUGAAAGUUGCUACCGACCGCCUGGAGGUUCUUGAAGGAGAACGCCGAGCGAAGCAAGAGGACCUGAAGAAGGCCGAUGCCGAAGCCAAGGAUGCCCGUAGUGCGAUGCGGGCUAUGAAGGAGGAACUGCGUCAGGUCGGAGACAUUGUGGCUGGAAAACCCUUUAUGCUGCGUAGGAAGUUCACGGAUCCGAAGUAUGCUUAGCUGGGCCGAUUGUACGGUGCGGAGGAUCCUUAUCUGGACUUGGCGGCGAGUGCGGCUGAUGCAGUCAUGCACUUUCGAAGCCAGGAGGAUCAUGAAAUGGAAGAGCUUUUCUGGUCUCAAUUUCAUAGUCCGGAGCGUCCACUUCCGUUGAGUGAUCGGCUGGUUGAGUGGGCUGAGCUGAAUAGAUUGUCCGGACUAGCCAUGAUGGAUGUGGUCACUCAUCUGUGGCCGAAAAGGCCCAAGCCGAAGAGUUAUUUUGGCUUGUUGCAGCAAUUCCUUGGGGCAGUGCCGCAUAUUAAGGCGAUGAAGUGGUCGGCAUGCAUAGAAGGUGCACGGAUGGCUCUCGCCCGUGGUAAAACAUACUGGGCGGAGAUGGAUGCCACCGAUGUUGCAUCCCGGGGUUCGGACAAAAGUUGAUUCCCCACCGAGCAUUACUUUGAGGAAGUCCUGCAGGGCGCUCGUAUAAUAGAGUCGCAGUGCUUGAAAGAUGUUAUGUUUGAAUGACAUGUAUGAUUUCUAAGAUCAUGUUUAUAAUGCAAUGACUUUUUAUACUUGUGUGUUCAAGUAUUGAACUAUCUCCUGUGCGGCCGUAUAUAUAUAUAUAUAUAUAUAUAUAUAUAUAUAUAUAUAUAUAUAUAUAUAUAUAUAUAUAUAUGUAUAAUCUGAAAGAUGGCAGUCUUUGGCUUCAGCCCCCACGCACAUGGUGCGGGGGUGUUUGCAAAAAGAAAAUCGCUUCUUCACACUUAAUCCAACGUCUUGGUCCUUUUAAGGACGUGAUAGCGUAGCAAACUAGGCAACCGGACUAUAAUACUUUAUCACUUUCACUUAGCCAUAGGAGCUCGAAUGUGGGGCUACUAUAUAGCCCCUGAUGGCACCGCGCUUCUCCGAACUCGGGGCGCGUAUGUGCCUGACCGGGAAGCGGUCCUUCGUCAAAGCGGAGGAAUUCUAAACAUUCCAAUGGUCGACCGAGUGGUUGACCAGUCUCUCGCUAUAUCAUGAUAGUCAGUUUUCGGCUUUCUCUACUGAGGUGCUCUCCCGGCCGAACCGGGGCACAAUCGCAGUAGUUCUCCUGGUGCCGCGUUAGCCGAUGAUACGGAACGUAAGGCAGCAAAACACAGUAGCCGGGCAAACCCAACAUUUGACCAAAGACAUGAUUCGGAGCUGAUGCAUAUAAGGCCUAACUCGAGAUGCCGGACACUCCCUGAGGUGUUCGGUCUUUAUGAUAUUGGGCCGAACAAAGCCCUAAGCCCCUAGUGUCCAGGUACAGGCGGGAACUUCUGACGCGGCCGAUGCCAAAACGCCAGCCUCCUCCUCGGCUCUGGUAGGAAACCGGGGGAUGUGUAUCAACAAGAGACAGUAAGAAAGGUUUACGCAGGGUCUUAAUCUGAAAAGAAUCCUUGCAACGGGUCCCUACUGCACGUCUGCGCCUGUGUCUCCGUUGUGUUGUAUCCUGGACAGGUGUAGCACGUGCUUCAUCUGUAAAAGAGAAGGACUUAGUUUCUAAGAAAUAUCGUGCAAAAAGUGUAUCAAAAUAAAGUAUAAUUUAGAAGAUGAAGAAAGUUGAGCUUUAUUGGCUUUCAUCAUUUAUGCGCGCGCCCCCCUAAAAAAAGGGGUAUGCGGCUGGGAAGCCCCUUGCCGGACUCGUCUAACCAUGUCCGAGGUCUAAAUGACCUGUUUUUAGGGGCUUUGACCUGCAAGGUCGGAAUAAUGUGUGGCUGUCUAGGCAGCCGCACAUUCUUCGUGGUCGAGAGACACCUGGAGUUUUUAAGAAUAUUCCACGUGGACCAGGCAUUUGUAAGCGUAAGAGACGCGUAAUGUUGUAUUGCAUUAAAGCAAGCGAAAGCUUCGCGCCCCAGUAGCGCUUAAGGGCUACUGUUAAAUGGGGCGAUGGAGAGUGAGCUUUUCGCGAUGGAGGUUGUCGGAUGAACCGAACACGACCUCUAGUGGUACAGAGCCUGUAAAAUUGGCUUAAAAGGCCUGGCGUCACUCCUUUGAAGGAAGUGCUGCUAUAGCGAAUUUUGGUGGGUUCUAUCCCCAGUCUGCGGAUGGUGUCCUGGUAUAGCAGGUGCCGCGCUGCGUGUUAUCACGUGAAGUGAGUUCACUGUUUGGACUUCUAGUGGGAAAGUCUUUUGGUUUCCGGAGCGCUGCUUUUGGGUUUCGUCACUUUCACUUGGUGUGUCGAGCCCCUUGUGUUCGGCGUUAAGUCGGCCGGACUGCUUGAAGACCCAACAAUCUCUGUGGGUAUGGUUUGCAGGCUUCCCGGAGGUACCAUGUAUUUGGCACAGUCUGUCCAGAAUCUUGUUUAGGUUGGAUAGCUCGUCACUGUUAUCCUUUAAGGGCAGUGUUUUGUUGUUCGGCCGAGAGCUUUUGAAUCCGGCGUUGACCACCGUACUAUUUGGGCCAUUCUCCUUGUUCCGGCGCUGAUCUUUUUUGCGUCGUGAUUUCCCAUUUCCAUCCCUGAUUUCGGAUGUACUCGGGUCGCUGGUGCUGCAUCUAGCCAACCCGCUGUCUUCCCCAGCGCAAAAGCGGGUCAUGAGACUUGUUAGUGCGGCCAUUGUUCUUGGUUUUUCCUGGCCGAGGUGUCUGGCGAGCCAUUCGUCUCGGACGUUGUGUUUGAAGGCUGCUAAGGCUUCAGCGUCCGGACAGUCAACUAUUUGGUUCUUUUUAGUGAGGAACCUGUUCCAGAAUUUGCGUGUCCGGGCUGUUGAGUUAUGUGACUUAAAUCAUCUGCAUCCGGAGGCCGGACAUAAGUCCCCUGAAAAUUUGCUCGAAACGCAUCCUCAAGCUCUUCCCAACUCCCAAUCGUAUUUUCUGGGAGGCUUUUAAGCCAAUGCCGGGCCGGCCCUUUGAGCUUGAGGGGAAGGUAUUUUAUGGCAUGGAGAUCAUCUCCUCUUGCCAUGUGUAUGUGUAGGAUAUAAUCCUCAAUCCAGACUCCGGGGUCUGUUGUUCUGUCGUAUGCCUCUAUGUUUAUGGGUUUAAAUCCCGCUGGAAAUCCAUGAUCCAGUACCUCGUCGGUAAAACAUAGUGGGUGUGCGGCGCCCCUAUAUUUGGGUGUGCCAUUGUCUUCAAAUGCUCGGCUGGUUGUGUUACUUCCUGGAGUCUUCUUUUUUGGCCCAUACAUAGACCUGGUCGGGUUAUCCUUUUUCUGAAGAUCUUUAUGCUGAUCAUGUGCCGGCUUGUGUGUGGAGCCCCAUGUUGCUCUUGGCCUGUCAUCUGGUUGUCUAUCCGGCUAGGCGGCCCCUUUAUUUUUUGACUGCGGGGGCUCGAAGGCCUCCUCGUCAAAUUCGGGCAACAGCUUGCGCUUCGGGUAGCUCUUUGUCUGGUGAUUAGUGCCAUAUUUAUCUGCGGUGUUGAGUACUUUGCUCCAUCUCAUUCUGAGUGUGUCUUCCGCUGUUUUGAGCUUCCGCUUUUGCUUCUUCAAACUUCUUGCAGUGGCGACGAGCCUGUUAUGGAGAUUCCUAUGCUCUGGUGAUGUGAGGUCAUCUUCGUCGGGGAUGGGUUGCUUGUCCGGUUCAUGUCCGGCUGGCUGCUUGUUGACGUGUGCGUCGUCUACUGCUUUGCCCUGCUCUAGGGCCGGGUUCAUAUGGGUACCGUUUUUGUCGAUGCCGGUCUUUGGGCGGCGCUUGCGUCGCCGCUUUGUUUGUUUGUUGGGGGAGUUGUCCUUCGCCACUUCCCGUUUUUCCUCAUUGUCGCUUCCUUUUGGUGUGUCCACCAUGUAUACGUUGUGAGCUGGGGUGGCUUUUCCGUGCCCGUUAGGCGCUGGUUCUUGGUCAUCUCCGGCAUCGUCGUCCAUACCGUCGAUGUCUUCGGAGUCGUAGUCUAACAUGUUGGUUAGAUCGUCGACAGCGGCUACCAAGUGGGUGGUGGGUGGGCUUUGAAUUUCUUCGUCGUCCGCAUCCCAACCUUCCUGACCGCAGUCCGGCCAGGGCUCUCCUGAUAACGAGAGAUACUUUAGCGAACUCAAGAUGUCGCCAAAAGGUGAGUGUUGAAAGACGUCCGCUGUAGUGAACUCCAUGAUCGACGCCCAGUCAGAUUCGAUCGGGGCGGGCGCGGGAGGUUCGGAGUCACGAGCUUUAUGAGGGACGAAGUCAGUGUUCGGCUCUAUCGCCGUAGAGGUUGCAGCCCCCAAGGUGGUGUCUAGGCAUCCAUCCUCGAUCUGCGGAGCUGGCUCCGAAUUGAAGAUCGGAGUGGUUUCGAGUGCGGCCUCCAGGGUACUGUCCGGCGGCAGAGCUAAAUCAUGCCCAUCGUGACAGUACAGCACGCUCGGCUGUGGCUCGAAUCCGUCGAGGAUCAAGUCCCCGCGGAUGUCAGCCGUGAAGUUCAAAUUUCCACAUCUGACCUGACGGCCAGGGGCGUAGCCUUCGAUCUGCUCCAUCAUGCCAAGCGAAUUGGCCCGCAGUGCAAAGCCGCCGAAUACGAAGAUCUAUCCGGGGAGGAAGGUCUCACCCUGGACUGCAUCGUCGUUGAUGAUCGAAGAAGCCAUCGAGCCUAUCGGUGACGACACAGAGGAACUCUCAAUGAAAGCACCAAUGUCGGUGUCAAAACCGGCGGAUCUCGGGUAGGGGGUCCCGAACAGUGCGUCUAGGCGGAUGGUAACAGGACACGAGGGACACGAUGUUUUUACCCAGGUUCGGGCCCUCUUGAUGAAGGUAAAACCCUACGUCAUGCUUGAUUAAUAUUGAUGAUGUGGGUUACAAGAGUAGAUCUACCACGAGAUCAAGGAGGCUAAACCCUAGAAGCUAGCCUAUGGUAUGAUUGUUGUUCGUCCUAUGGACUAAAGCCAUCCGGUUUAUAUAGACACCGGAGAGGGAUAGGGUUACACAGAGUUGGUUACAAAGGUAGGAGAUCUACAUAUCCGUAUCGCCAAGCUUGCCUUCCACGCCAAGGAAAGUCCCAUCCGGACACGGGAUGAGGUCUUCAAUCUUAUAUCUUCAUAGUCUUGGAGUCCGGCCGAUGAUGAUGGUUCGGCUAUCCGGACACCCCCUAGUCCGGAACUCCCUCAAUGGCCAAAGAUUGCAACAGAAAGAUAUGCCACAAAGACAUAACAAAGAGAGACACAAGCAAUCAACGGAUAUCAAUUGAACCAACUAGACCAAUGAUCCUACAUGCCACAAGAAUAAAGAUAUUAUGAAAAGCGCAAAGGAGUGUUCUAAAGAAACUAGAGAAGCUCCCCAUGAUUUGUGCACACAUAAGAAUUUUUUGUAUUUGAAUACAAAGUGCACAAAAUAGGAUCAUAGCUCCCCCAAAAUCAAUAGAAACUCACAUCCAGUGCAAGUGAGCAUAUAGGAAACAAAGCCUAACGCUUGCAACAAGCACAUGGUUCAGCAACAUGUAAAAGAGGCAACUUAAGAAUAGGCUCAACCAAAAUGAUGUGUGUGAGUCAUGGCGAAGCACUUGAGAAGACUAAAAUUAGGAUGAGCAUUAAGCAUCAACAUAGUCUUGAAAGAAUGAGGCACACGGUGCAAGGCCUAUCAUUCCCACACACAACUGGCAAAUGGGUUCACAAGCUUACUAAUAAGCAAAAGAGAACCUAUUCUUGUGACAACCCGUGGUUAAGAUAGAUGAGGGGAGGCUCAUCAAGACGAGGGAUACCAAUUAAGAUGGCAAAAACCUCGUAAAGAUAAGCAAGAGGAAAAUAAUCUUCACCACACAAGAGUGCAACAAGAUGCAACGAUAGAGGACACACACUCAAGGCAAAAGCUUUCACGGAGCCACCAAAGAAAUAACAUAAGAAAGACAAGGUGGACGUGAAAGAAAGGAUAUCAACUAGAGAUGUAAUUUCUCUCAAGUGUAUGAGGUUCUAUGUAGACGAAAUCAUGAUGAUAUAUAUAUCUACAAAGAAGGAUGUACACCCGGAAUAGUUACAACAUGAAGGAACAAGAUAUCCACAAGGAAGCCAUAAAUAUACAAUUAAGAUAUUGCUUGAAAGCAUAGCACAUGGCUAGAUAUGGUCUUAUUGUAUAUGAAUGAAGUCCAAACACACAUCCAUCAAAGGCAUCACAACUAGCAACAAGAGAUCAUCGUUGGGAUGCAUUGAGAAAGGAAACAAGUAUCACAAGAUAUGAAAUGAAUAUCAUGCCAAGAUGCAACCUACACAAGGUUGAAUGCAAGAGGAGAAAGCAUGAAUAGAUACUUGUUACCGAGAUAUCAUUGGAAGGAUGUAGUAGAUACCAAUUGAAGGUAGAUAGUAGUUCAUUGAUCAUCCUAGCUUAACUCCAAUAAGCACAUGGUGACAACACCUUCCUUGUGAGUGAGUCGAGCAUCCAAUGCAUCUCCAACCGUUCCUACAAGGACAACACAAACUAAACGGUACCCCAAACUCAUUGGGACCAAAUAGUUAGAAACACCAAUACAUAGGACAAAUUCCACAUAAAUAUGUGCAUAUAGAUAUGGAAAUUAAUUUCAUGCACAUCUCAUCCAAUUUGAGACUUGGUGGAGUUUCCCCUAUAUAUUGGGUCAACGAAAGAAAGCAUGCCAAAUAGAAUACAUGAAGUAAAUAUGCAUGCUCAAAACUUUCAAGAACCGAUACCAAAAGACAAAGAAAUGCCAAGUGAAAAGGAUACCAAAUGGAGAAAUCAUCACUUGGAAGAUAUCAUUAAAGAUACAUCAAGGAAUGAGAUAUCCAUUGAUACACACUAAAUUAAAGAUGUCAAACUCCCAAAGAGAGGAUGGUUCCAAACAAACCAAGCUCUCAACAAAGUUUCAUGAUGGCACAAGGUACCAAAAGAAAACGGCUUGCCUUCCACCAACACACACUUGAUAAGGAUCACAAGAAGAGUGUUCUAAAGAAAAUAGGAUAGCUCCCCCACGAGUUGUGCAUUAUAGAGAAUUUCCUUUUGAAUACGAAAUGCACAAGGUGGGAUCACCACUUUCUCUAUAUCUAGAAAACACUAGACGAGAACAAGAAAUUAACAAGAUCCACAAGUGGUAUGGAAGACAAUGGGAGUUGACACAAACCUUGGAAAGAGAAAAGGCAAAUAAAAACAAAAUCCAAUGUAAAGAUGAUCAAUUAAAUUCUACCACACAUAAGUGAUUACCAAUUGUCAAAAGAAGUAUUUGGAAAUAAUUCCCGGUGGUAGAUAGCAAGGAUAUCCGACAUCAUCUUCACUCCAAACAAAAAGCAAAAUGCAACUUGUAGAGCUAACAUGCCACCUAGGAACAAGAUAAUCUACAAUAUCAAUUCUAGGUGACAAUAUCUCAAAUGUACAUAUUUUCUAGGCUUGUAAUAUGCACUUAGCAUAUUACUCCCCCAUAAUGUGAUACCAAUAAGAACUUAACAAGAGGCAAUAAGAGGAACAAACAAGAGAUAAUUAAUGGACUAUUUAGAAUUUGAAUUUCUCAUGAGAGAUAUACCACCUAGCGACUAGAUAAUCUUGUAAUAUCAAUACUAGAUGGUAUUCCUCAUGUACACACAUUUAUAGGAUUGUGAGGUGCACAAAGCACAUCACUCUCCCAAAAUGGGAUGUUCCAUUAAUCUCUCACACGAGCCAACUAGGAUACAAACAAGAAGCAUAAAGGCUCAACGCACGACAUACACGUACAUGAUGUGCAAACCAACACACACAUACUUGAUUGCUCAAGAUAAGCAAGUUGGAAUCACAACAUAUACCAACACAUGCAAGGAACAAAACCAAAACAUGCAAGGGGGGCAAGUAACUUUCAAUGUAAGCAAUUUUAAGUACAAGUUACCGCAAGGAGGCACAUUGGAUAUAAGAAAUAAACUUGAUGAUUCAAUUGACUUGGCUUGAGACAAUAAGAGUGAUGAAGUCCCCUUAAUUCUUCAUAAUGUAGCCAAGUCUCCAAUGCCCUCCAACAACACCUAUUGAUAAAGAUUGAGCUUGUUGGUCCCCAACCAAGUUGGGUCCUAAGAGGUUAGUCACAAUAGGCUUGGCAACCCAAAUGGUUCUUUUCUUGACACCACUUUGAGUACCAACAAACUUGGCAAACACAUUGUCAACCUUAUCCUUCCCAAGAGAAUAGAUAUCAUCAAUAGUAAUUGGGUUGGAUAAGUUACCACUAGUGCAUGAAGAAGUGACGUGGCCUUUCUCACGACAUAAGUAGCAACGUCUACUCUUCACUUUCUUCUCACUUGAUUUCUCAACAAGAGAAGCAUUAACUUGAUUCUUCUUGAGAAGAGGCCUUUCUUCAACUUGAGGUUGAGCAUGAGAUUCUCUGUUGGAAAAGGCAGUGCCUAGGAGGCGCUUAGGCACUCCUAGGUGCUAGGCACUGGCCAAACGCCUCGCCUAGGGCAUAAAUGGAGGUCUAGGUAGGGCAAGCAAGGAAUUGCCUACCCAAGCAAGAAAUCAUACCACAUACUGCACUGAUAUGACAAACCGGCUAUAUUCCAAUGGCAGUAGAUGGUUAUUAACUUAUUUAUGUGCCCUAAACUAAUAUCAACACCCAUAUAAUAAUCACAAAUACACUACGAGUAAAACUAUAUUACCGCCUAGGCCGCGCCUAGGGCGCUUAGGCACCGCCUAGUGUUGGGAAACGUAGUAAUUUCAAAAAAAUUCCUACGCACACGCAAGAUCAUGGUGAUGGCAUAGCAACGAGAGGGGAGAGUGUUGUCCAUGUACCCUCGUAGACCGUAAGCGGAAGCGUUAUCACAACGCGGUUGAUGUAGUCGUACGUCUUCAUGACUCGACCGAUCCAAGCACCGAACGUAUGGCACCUCCAUGUUCAGCACACGUUCAGCUCGAUGACGUUCCCCGGGCUCCAAUCCAGCAAAGUGUCGGGGAUGAGUUCUGUCAGCAUGACGGCGUGGUGACGAUGAUGAUGUUCUACCGGCGCAGGGCUUCGCCUAAACUCCGCGACAAUAUGACCGAGGUGGAAUAUGGUGGAGGGGGGCACCGCACACGGCUAAGGAAUGAUCCGUAGAUCAACUUGUGUGUACUAGGGUGCCCCCCUGCCCCCGUAUAUAAAGGAGCAAGGGGGAGGCCGGCCGGCCCCUUGGGGCGCGCCAAGGAGGAGUCCUCCUCCUAGUAGGAGUAGGACUCCCCUUUUCCUACUCCUACUAGGAGGGGGAAAGGAAGAGGGAGAGCGGGAAGGAAAGAGGGGGGCGCCACCCCCCCUCCUAGUCCAAUUCGGACCAGAGGGAGAGGGGCGCGCGGCCCACCCUGGCCGCCCCUCUCUCUUCCCACUAAGGCCCAUGUGGCCCAUUAACUCUCCCGGGGGGUUCCGGUAACCCUCCGGCACUCCGGUUUUCUCCGAAAUCACCCGGAACACUUCCGGUGUCCAAAUAUAGUCGUCCAAUAUAUCAAUCUUUAUGUCUCGAUCAUUUCGAGACUCCUCGUCAUGUCCGUGAUCACAUCCGGGACUCCGAACAAACUUCGGUACAUCAAAACUUGUAAACUCAUAAUAAAACUGUUAUCGUAACGUUAAGCGUGCGGACCCUACCGGUUCGAGAACUAUGUAGACAUGACCUAGAACUAUUCUUGGUUAAUAACCAAUAGUGGAACCUGGAUGUUCAUAUUGGUUCCUACAUAUUCUACGAAGAUCUUUAUCGGUCAAACCGCAUAACAACUUACGUUGUUCCCUUUGUCAUCGGUAUAUUACUUGCCCGAGAUUCGAUCGUCGGUAUCCAAUAACUAGUUCAAUCUCGUUACCGGCAAGUCUCUUUACUCGUUACGUAAUACAUCAUUUCAUAACUAACUCAUUAGUUACAAUGCUUGCAAGGCUUAAGUGAUGAGUAUUACCGAGAGGGCCCAGAGAUACCUCUCCGACAAUCGGAGUUACAAAACCUAAUCUCGAAUUAUGCCAACUCAACAUGUACCUUUGGAGACACCUGUAGAGCACCUUUAUAAUCACCCAGUUACAUUGUGACGUUUGGUAGCACACAAAGUGUUCCUCCGGUAAACGGGAGUUGCACAAUCUCAUAGUUGUAGGAACUUUGUAUAAGUCAUGAAGAAAGCAAUAGCAACAUACUAAACAAUCAAGUGCUAAGCUAAUGGAAUGGGUCAAGUCAAUCACAACAUUCUCCUAAUGAUGUGAUCCCAUUAAUCAAAUGACAACACAUGUCUAUGGUUAGGAAACAUAACCAUCUUUGAUUAAUGAGCUAGUCAAGUAGAGGCAUACUAGUGACACUUUGUUUGUCUAUGUAUUCACACAUGUAUCAUGUUUCCGGUUAAUACAAUUCUAGCAUGAAUAAUAAACAUUUAUCAUGAUAUGAGGAAAUAAAUAAUAACUUUAUUAUUGCCUCUAGGGCAUAUUUCCUUCAGUCUCCCACUUGCACUAGAGUCAAUAAUCUAGAUUACAUAGUAAUGAUUCUAACACCCAUGGAGUCUUGGUGUUGAUCAUGUUUUGCUCGUGAGAGAGGCUUAGUCAACGGGUCUACAACAUUCAGAUCCGUAUGUAUUUUGCAAAUCUCUAUGUCUCCCACUUGGACUUGGUCCCGAAUGGAAUUGAAGCGUCUCUUGAUGUGCUUGGUCCUCUUGUGAAAUCUGGAUUCCUUUGCCAAGGAAAUUGCACCAGUAUUGUCACAGAAGAUCUUCAUUGGUCCCGAUGCACUAGGUAUAACACCUAGAUCGGAAAUGAACUCCUUCAUCCAGACUCCUUCAUUUGCUGCUUCCGAAGCAGCUAUGUACUCCGCUUCACAUGUAGAUCCCGCCACGACGCUUUGUUUAGAACUGCACCAACUUACAGCUCCACCGUUUAACAAAAAUAUGUAUCCGGUUUGUGAUUUAGAAUCAUCCGGAUCAGUGUCAAAGCUUGCAUCGACGUAACCAUUUACGACUAGCUCUUUGUCACCUCCAUAUAUGAGAAACAUAUCCUUAGUCCUUUUCAGGUAUUUCAGGAUGUUCUUGACCGCCGUCCAGUGACCCACUCCUGGAUUACUUUCGUACCUCCCUGCCAAACUAAUAGCAAGGCACACAUCAGGUCUGGUACACAGCAUUGCAUACAUGAUAGAGCCUAUGGCUGAAGCAUAGGGAACUCCUUUCAUUUUCUCUCUAUCUUCUGCAGUGGUCGGGCAUUGAGUCUGACUCAACUUUAUACCUUGUAAUACAGGCAAGAACCCUUUCUUCGCCUGAUCCAUAUUGAACUUUUUCAACACUUUAUCAAGGUACGUGCAUUGUGAAAGUCCAAUCAAGCGUCUUGAUCUAUCUCUAUAGAUCUUAAUGCCCAAUAUGUAAGCAGCUUCACCGAGGUCUUUCAUUGAAAAACUUUUAUUCAAGUAUCCUUUUAUGCCAUUCAGAAAUUCUAUAUCAUUUCCAAUCAACAAUAUGUCAUCUACAUAUAAUAUUAGAAAUGCUACAGAGCUCCCACUCACUUUCUUGUAAAUACAGGCUUCUCCAAAAGUCUGUAUAAAACCAUAUGCUUUGAUCACACUAUCAAAGCGUUUAUUCCAACUCCGAGAGGCUUGCACCAGACCAUAGAUUGAUCGCUGGAGCUUGCACACUUUGUUAGCUCCCUUAGGAUCGACAAAACCUUCCGGUUGCAUCAUAUACAACUCUUCUUCCAGAAAUCCAUUCAGAAAUGCGGUUUUGACAUCCAUCUGCCAAAUUUCAUAAUCAUAAAAUGCGGCAAUCGCUAACAUGAUUCGGAUAGACUUAAGCAUCGCUACAGGUGAGAAACUCUCAUCGUAGUCAACCCCUUGAACUUGUCGAAAACCUUUCGCAACAAGUCGAGCUUUAUAGACAGUUACAUUACCGUCAGCGUCAGUCUUCUUCUUAAAGAUCCAUUUAUUCUCAAUGGCUUGCCGAUCAUCGGGCAAGUCAACCAAAGUCCAUACUUUGUUUUCAUACAUGGGUCCCAUCUCAGAUUUCAUGGCUUCUAGCCAUUUUGCGGAAUCUGGGCUCAUCAUCGCUUCCUCAUAGUUCGUAGGUUCAUCAUGGUCAAGUAACAUGACUUCCAGAAUAGGAUUACCGUACCACUCUAGUGCAGAUUUUAUUCUGGUAGACCUACGAGGUUCAGUAGAAACUUGAUCUGAAUUUUCAUGAUCAAUAUCAUUAUCUUCCUCACUAAUUGGUGUAGAUGUCACAGGAACUGAUUUUUGUGAUGAACUACUUUCCAAUGAGGGAGCAGACAUAGUUAUCUCAUCAAGUUCUACUUUCCUCCCACUCACUUCUUUCGAGAGAAACUCCUUUUCUAGAAAGGAUCCAUUCUUAGCAAUGAAUGUCUUGCCUUUGGAUCUGUGAUAGAAGGUGUACCCAACAGUCUCUUUUGGGUAUCCUAUGAAGACACAUUUCUCUGAUUUGGGUUUGAGCUUAUCUGGUUGAAGUUUCUUCACAUAAGCAUCGCAUCCCCAAACUUUAAGAAACGACAACUUUGGUUUCUUGCCAAACCAUGGCUCAUAAGGCGUCGUCUCAACGGAUUUUGAUGGUGCCCUAUUCAAAUGUGAAUGCAGCCGUCUCUAAAGCAUAAACCCAAAAUGAUAGCGGUAAAUCAGUAAGAGACAUCAUAGAUCGCACCAUAUCUAGUAAAGUACGAUUACGACGUUCGGACACACCAUUACGUUGUGGAGUUCCGGGUGGCAUGAGUUGCGAAACUAUUCCGCAUUGUUUCAAAUGUAAACCAAACUCGUAACUCAAAUAUUCUCCUCCACGAUCAGAUCGUAGAAACUUAAUUUUCUUGUUAUGAUGAUUUUCUACUUCACUCUGAAAUUCUUUGAACUUUUCAAAUGUUUCAGACUUGUGUUUCAUUAAGUAGAUAUACCCAUAUCUGCUCAAAUCAUCUGUGAAGGUGAGAAAAUAACGAUAUCCGCCACGUGCUUCAAUAUUCAUCGGUCCACAUACAUCUGUAUGUAUGAUUUCCAACAAAUCUGUUGCUCUCUCCAUAGUACCGGAGAACGGUGUCUUAGUCAUCUUGCCCAUGAGGCACGGUUCGCAAGUACCAAGUGAUUCAUAAUCAAGUGAUUCCAAAAGUCCAUCAGUAUGGAGUUUCUUCAUGUGCUUUACAUCGAUAUGACCUAAACGGCAGUGCCACAAAUAAGUUGCACUAUCAUUAUCAACUCUGCAUCUUUUGGCUUGGACAUUAUGAAUAUGUGUAUCACUACUAUCGAGAUUCAAUAAAAAUAGACCACUCUUCAAGGGUGCAUGACCAUAAAAGAUAUUACUCAUAUAAAUAGAAUAACCAUUAUUCUUUGAUUUAAAUGAAUAACCGUCUCACAUCAAACAAGAUCCAUAUAUAAUGUUCAUGCUCAACGCUGGCACCAAAUAACAAUUAUUCGGGUCUAAGACUAAUCCCGAAGGUAGAUGUAGAGGUAGCAUGCCGACCGCGAUCACAUCGACUUUGGAACCGUUUCCCACGCGCAUCGUCACCUCGUCCUUGGCCAGUGCUCACUUAUUCCGUAGUCCCUGUUUCAAGUUGCAAAUAUUAGCAACAGAACCAGUAUCAAAUACACAAGUGCUACUACGAGCUCUAGUUAGGUACACAUCAAUAACAUGUAUAUCACAUAUACCUUUGUUCACUUUGCCAUCCUUCUUAUCCGCCAAAUACUUGGGGCAGUUCCGCUUCCAGUGACCAGUUUGCUUGCAGUAGAAGCACUCAGUUUCAGGCUUAGGUCCAGACUUGGGUUUCUUCUCUUGAGCAGCAACUUGCUUGUUGUUCUUCUUGAAGUUCCCCUUCUUCUUCCCUUUGCCCUUUUUCUUGAAACUAGUGGUCUUGUUAACCAUCAACACUUGAUGCUCCUUCUUGAUUUCUACCUCCGCAGCCUUUAGCAUUGCGAAGAGCUCGGGAAUUGUCUUGUUCAUCCCUUGCAUAUUAUAGUUCAUCACGAAGCUCGUGUAGCUUGGUGGCAGUGAUUGGAGAAUUCUGUCAAUGACGCUAUCAUCCGAAAGAUUAACUCCCAGUUGAAUCAAGUGAUUAUUAUACCCCGGACAUUUUGAGUAUAUGCUCACUAACAGAACUAUUCUCCUCCAUCUUGCAGCUGUAGAACUUAUUGGAGACUUCAUAUCUCUCAAUCUGGGCAUUUGCUUGAAAUAUUAACUUCAACUCCUGGAACAUCUCAUAUGCUCCAUGACGUUCAAAAUGUAGUUGAAGACCCGGUUCUAAGCCGUAAAGCAUGGCACACUGAACUACAGAGUAGUCAUCAGCUUUGCUCUGCCAGACGUUCACAACAUCUGGUGUUGCACUUGCAGCAAGCCUGACACCCAGCGGUGCUUCCAGGACGUAAUUCUUCUGUGCAGCAAUGAGGAUAAUCCUCAAGUUACGGACCCAGUCCGUGUAAUUACUACCAUCAUAUUUUAACUUUGCUUUCUCAAGGAAUGCAUUAAAAUUCAACGAAACAACAGCAUGAGCCAUCUAUCUACAACAAACAUAGACAAGCAAAAUACUAUCAGGUACUAAGUUCAUGAUAAAUUUAAGUUCAAUUAAUCAUAUUACUUAAGAACUCCCACUUAGAUAGAUAUCUCUCUAGUCAUCUAAGUGAUUACGUGAUCCAAAUCAACUAAACCAUAACCGAUCAUCACGUGAGAUGGAGUAGUUUUCAAUGGUGAACAUCACUAUGUUGAUCAUAUCUACUAUAUGAUUCACGCUCGACCUUUCGGUCUCUGUGUUCUGAGGCCAUAUCUGCAUAUGCUAGGCUCGUCAAGUAUAACCUGAAUAUUCUGCGUGUGCAAAACUGGCUUGCACCCGUUGUAGAUGGACGUAGAGCUUAUCACACCCGAUCAUCACGUGGUGUCUGGGCACGACGAACUUUGGCAACGGUGCAUAUUCAGGGAGAACACUCCUUGAUAAUUUUUAGUGAGAGAUCAUCUUAAAAUGCUACCGUCAAUCAAAGCAAGAUAAGAUGCAUAAAAGAUAAACAUCACAUGCAAUCAAUAUAAGUGAUAUGAUAUGGCCAUCAUCAUCUUGUGCUUGUGAUCUCCAUCUCCGAAGCACCGUCGUGAUCACCAUCGUCACUGGCGCGGCACCUUGAUCUUCAUCGUAGGAUCGUUGUCGUUUACGCCAUCUAUUGCUUCUACGACUAUCGCUACCGCUUAGUGAUAAAGUAAAGCAAUUAUAGGGCGUUUGUGUUUCAUACAAUAAAGCGACAACCAUAUGGCUCCUGCCAGUUGCCGAUAACUUCGGUUACAAAACAUGAUCAUCUCAUACAAUAAAUAUAGCAUCACGUCUUGACCAUAUCACAUCACAACAUGCCCUGCAAAAACAAUUUAGACGUCCUCUACUUUGUUGUUGCAAGUUUUACGUGGCUGCUACGGGCUUAGCAAGAACCGUUCUUACCUACGCAUCAAAACCACAACGAUAGUUCGUCAAGUUAGUGUUGUUUUAACCUUCGCAAGGACCGGGCGUAGCCACACUCGGUUCAACUAAAGUUGGAGAAACUGACACCCGCCAGCCACCUGUGUGCAAAGCACGUCGGUAGAACCAGUCUCGCGUAAGCGUACGCGUAAUGUCGGUCCGGACCGCUUCAUCCAACAAUACCGCUGAACCAAAGUAUGACAUGCUCGUAAGCAGUAUGACUUGUAUUGCCCACAACUCACUUGUGUUCUACUCGUGCAUAUGACAUCUACGCAUAAAACCUAGGCUCGGAUGCCACUAUUGGGGAACGUAGUAAUUUCAAAAAAAUUCCUAUGCACACGCAAGAUCAUGGUGAUGGCAUAGCAACGAGAGGGGAGAGUGUUGUCUACGUACCCUCGUAGACCGUAAGCGGAAGCGUUAUCACAACGCGGUUGACAUAGUCAUACGUCUUCACGACUUGACCGAUCCAAGCACCGAACGUACGGCACCUCCGUGUUCAGCACACGUUCAGCUCGAUGACGUUCCCCGGGCUCCAAUCCAGCAAAGCGUCGGGGAUGAGUUCCGUCAGCACGACGGCAUGGUGACGAUGAUGAUGUUCUACCGGCGCAGGGCUUCACCUAAACUCCGCGACGAUAUGACCGAGGUGGAAUAUGGUGGAGGGGGGCACCGCACACGGCUAAGGAACGAUCCGUAGAUCAACUUGUGUGUACUAGGGUGCCCCCUGCCCCCGUAUAUAAAGGAGCAAGGGGGAGGCCGGCCGGCCCCUUGGGGCGCGCCAAGGGGGAGGAGUCCUCCUCCUAGUAGGAGUAGGACUCCCCUUUUCCUACUCCUACUAGGAGGGGGAAAGGAAGGGGGAGAGGGGGAAGGAAAGAGGGGGGCGCCGCCCCCCCCCCCUCCUAGUCCAAUUCGGACCAGAGGGAGAGGGGGCACGCGGCCCACCCUGGCUGCCCCUCUCUCUUCCCACUAAGGCCCAUGUGGCCCAUUAACUCUCCCUGGGGGGUUCCGGUAACCCUCCGGCACUCCGGUUUUCUCCGAAAUCACCCGGAACACUUCCGGUGUCCGAAUAUAGUCGUCCAAUAUAUCAAUCUUUAUGUCUCGAUCAUUUCAAGACUCCUCGUCAUGUCUGUGAUCACAUCCGGGACUCCAAACAAACUUCGGUACAUCAAAACUUGUAAGCUCAUAAUAAAACUGUCAUCAUAACGUUAAACUUGUAGACAUGACCUAGAACUAUUCUCGGUCAAUAACCAAUAGUGGAACCUGGAUGUUCAUAUUGGUUCCUACAUAUUCUACGAAGAUCUUUAUCGGUCAAACCGCAUAACAACAUACGUUAUUCCCUUUGUCAUCGGUAUGUUACUUGCCCGAGAUUCGAUCGUCGGUAUCCAAUACCUAGUUCAAUCUCAUUACCGGCAAGUCCCUUUACUCGUUACAUAAUACAUCAUUUCAUAACUAACUCAUUAGUUACAAUGCUUGCAAGGCUUAAGUGAUGAGUAUUACCGAGAGGGCCCAGAGAUACCUCUCCGACAAUCGGAGUGACAAAACCUAAUCUCGAAUUAUGCCAACUCAACAUGUACCUUUGGAGACACCUGUAGAGCACCUUUAUAAUCACCCAGUUACGUUGUGACGUUUGGUAGCACACAAAGUGUUCCUCCGGUAAACGGGAGUUGCACAAUCUCAUAGUUGUAGGAACUUUGUAUAAGUCAUGAAGAAAGCAAUAGCAACAUACUAAACGAUCAAGUGCUAAGCUAACGGAAUGGGUCAAGUCAAUCACAACAUUCUCCUAAUGAUGUGAUCCCAUUAAUCAAAUGACAACACAUGUCUAUAGUUAGGAAACAUAACCAUCUUUGAUUAAUGAGCUAGUCAAGUAGAGGCAUACUAGUGACACUUUGUUUGUCUAUGUAUUCACACAUGUAUCAUGUUUCCGGUUAAUACAAUUCUAGCAUGAAUAAUAAACAUUUAUCAUGAUAUGAGGAAAUAAAUAAUAACUUUAUUAUUGCCUCUAGGGCAUAUUUCCUUCACCUAGGCACUAGGCGAAGGCCAACCGCCUCGCUUACGCCUACCGCUUUUUCCAACCUUGAUGAGAUUGAACUUGUGCCCUCUUCCCUUGUUGCUUGACACUAAUGGCCUUCUUCUUCAAUGGGCAAGAUCUAACAUGAUGCCCUUCUACUUUGCACUUGAAGCAAACAAUCUUGGCCGAAUUCUUGACUUGUUUUUGGCCCUUCCUUUUGUUCAUCUUGGACUUCUUCUUCUUAUUGGAGUUGAAUCCAAGUCCACCUUUGUCAUCGGGGGAUUUUUGCACACUCAAGAUAUUGUUGAGUGUGGAUUUCCCUUGAUGACUCUUUUCCAAGUCUUUCUUCAAAGAAGUGACUUGGGCCUUGAGCUCUUUGAUUUCCUCUACAUGGUUAGUCUCAACACAAGUACUAGAGGAAGUAUAAGCUUCAUCGUUAGAGCAACAAGGCAAGGAAAGCAAUUCAUCACAAGAUGUACCAACAUUGUGAGUAGAUGAAUUACAAGGACUAGCACAUGGCAAUAUACUAUUUUGACUAGAAGUAGUGCUAGUAUCCACAUGAGGCUCAAUCAUGGCCUCAUGAGCUAUCUUUAGCACACUAUGGGAUACUAGAAGAUCAUCAGGAGAGCUUGAGAGCUUUUCAUGACUUUCUUCCAAUUUCCCAUAAUUGCUAGAUAGCACCUCCAGUUGAGCCCGUAGCUCAACAUUCUCCUUCAAAAUGGAUGCUUCACAAGUAAUAGAAUUAGUAGCACAAGCAUCAUCAUUAACAACAAGAGGAGAAGGCAACUUGGCAACCUCUUUUAAAUAAGAGGCUUCAAGUUGGGCAUGAGACUCGGUGAGUUUGAUGAGCUCACCCUUGAUGAAUCUUGAGCCAUUUUCGAGGUGCUCAAAAUCCUCAAGGAGUCUAGCAUGAUAAACUUCAAGCUUAGCAUUUUUAGUUUUGAAAUCGUUGGCCACAUCAAGAGCUCUAUCAUGAGAUUCCCUCACUCUAGAUAAUUCUAGAGCAAAAGUCUCCUCAAGAGAUUUGGAGGUGGUUUGUUCAUGUUCAAGAGCUUGAGAUAGCUCCACGAUCUCAUUUGCGUAAUCACGCCCAUGAGCUUCCAUUUUCUCAAUGGUGACCUCAUGCUCCUCGAGAUGAGAUUCCAACUCCUCAAUAUAUUUGUUGCCCUCAAUGGCAAUGGACAUAAUUUCCAUGAAGUUGGAACAAGCAAUUUUAGUUUUAUGAAGAGCUUUAAAAAUCAUCUCCCCCUUAGUUUUUAAGGAGGCAACAUUAUCAUUCUCUUCAUCAUCAUCCUCAUCAUCAUUAGCAUCAACAUCAUCAUCAAGAGACAUAUUGGGGUACAAAGUAGGAGAUACCUUUGAUGCCUUAGCCAUAAGGCAAAAAGCAAUAGAUGAUGAUGUAGGAUCCCUUGAGGCACCAUUAAACACCACAUCUUGUUCCAUGGAGUGUUCGGUUUCCUCUACAUUGUUAGCACAAUAAUUCGAGGAAAUAGAUGCAUUUUUAUCAUGGCAACAAGACAUAGCAAGCAUAUCAUCAUGCGAUUUAGUCAAGCAAUUUCUACAUGAUAUGCAAGGACUAUCAACACAAGCAUGUGAAACAUUUGGAGUGCUCGAAGUGUUAAAGCCCAAAGAAGGAGCAUUACAAUAAUAUAGUGAUGAAGGAUCAUCCACAAUAAGCAUACUAUCACCAUUGCAAUGACCAACACUACUCACCAUAUCAUUACCUUGUGGCAAACCACAUGUAGGUGAAGUAGAAGAAGUUGAGAAGACUAUACGACCGGAGGUGGAGGGGGAACAAUCAUCCCAAAUAUUGGACACACCAUAUUUAUCUUGAAGCUUUGUCCACAACUCAUGAGCAUCCCGGAACGGCAUGAGUUGAAAAAUAACUACAUUGCUCAAAGCAUCAAAAAGCACAUUAGAAGCUUGAGCAUUGAGAUAAGAGUUUUUCUCAUCCUCUAAAGAUAAUCUUUGGGGAUCCUUUGGAGGAGAAAAACCCAUAUCUACAAUUCGCUCUAAAUUUGGGUCCAUGAGCCUAAAGAGAUUAAGCAUGCGAAUUACCCAAACAUCAAAAUUUGUGCCAUCGAAACUAAGUGUGUCAGAGAAUCCUAAUCCCCUAGUAGACAUCUUUACACUCUAGGCGGUUAAGCCUAAAAAAGAGAGACGAGGCUCUGAUACCAAUUGAAAGAUCGAGGAUGUCGCCUAGAGGGGGGGCUGAAUAGGCGCUUUAAAAUAAUUACGGUUUAGGCUUGAACAAAUGCGGAAUAAACCUAGCGGUUAAUUUGUCAAGCACAAAACCUACAACAAAUAGGUCACCUAUGUGCACCAACAACUUAUGCUAAGCAAGAUAAGCAACUAUGUGAUAGCAAGAUAUAUGACAAAAACAAUAUGGCUAUCACAAAGUAAAGUGCAUAAGUAAAGGGGCUCGGGUAAGAGAUAACCGAGGCACGCGGAGACGACGAUGUAUCCCGAAGUUCACACCCUUGCGGAUGCUAAUCUCCGUUUGGAGCGGUGUGGAGGCACAAUGCUCCCCAAGAAGCCACUAGGGCCACCGUAAUUUCCUCACGCCCUCGCAGAAUGCAAGAUGUCGUGAUUCCACUAAGGGGCCCUUGAGGGCGGUCACCGAACCCGUACAAAUGGCGACCCUUGGGGGCGGUCACCGAACCCGUACACUUUGGAAACCCUUGGGGGCGGUCAUCCGUACCCGUCAAAUUGCUCGGGGCGAUCUCCACAACCUAAUUGGAGACCCCGACGCUUGCCCGGAGCUUUACACCACAAUGAUUGAGCUCCGAACACCACCAACCGUCUAGGGCACCAAGGCACCCAAGAGGAACAAGCUCUAGGGUGCCCAAACACCCAAGAGUAAUAAGCUUCUCAAACUUCACUUCCACGUAUCACCGUGGAGAACUCAAACUGAUGCACCAAAUGCAAUGGCAAGGGCACACGGAGUGCCCAAGUCCUUCUCUCCCAAAUCCCACCAAAGCAACUAAUGCUAGGGAGGAAAAUGAGAGAAAGAACGAAAGAAGAACACGAAGAACUCCAAGAUCUAGAUCCAAGGGGUUCCCCUCACUUAGAGGAGAAAGUGAUUGGUGGAAACGUGGAUCUAGAUCUCCUCUCUCUUUUCCCUCAAGAACUAGCAAGAAUCCAUGGAGGGAUUGAGAGUUAGCAAGCUCGAAGAAGGUCAACAAUGGGGGAAGAACACGAGCUCAAGGGAUUAGGUUCAUUGGGGAAGAAGACCCCCUUUUAUAGGACCUCCCGAAUCCAACCAUUAUGUGCUCAGGUCGUGCACAAGCGGUACUACCGCUUGGAGGAGCGGUACUACCGCUUAGCACGGUCAAAACAGCCCAACGAGAGAGAAAACACGAGUUUUUGGUCCGGAGCGGUACUACCACUUAGGAGCCAUGGUAGUACUUCUCUGGAGCGGUACUACCGCUCAGGAGCCGCGGUAGUACCGCUCUAGAGCGGUAGUAAAAAAUUACAUCCGCUCUAGUCACGGUAGUACCGCUGCAGCCUUUACCAAAACAGCCACAACUUUUGCAAACGGACUCCGAAUUCAAUGAAACCAAGUUUGUUGGAAAGCUAACGACAUGGGAUAACACAAUAUUGAUAGAAAUAUCAAGAAUAAGAAAAUGAGAAAGGUCUUAUAAGAAAAUGGUGAGAACCCUUCAUCGGAUAAGACCGGUAAAACCUCCAACACCGAAAACAUCAUAGAAGACGCAUGCGAACUCCGUUUUCGAUGAACUCAAGCUUGUCAUCAAGAUGACCAUAAGCUCUAAGACUCACAAAUAUAACCAAACAAGAACCAAGAAACAUGAUGCAAGGAUGCAAUGGUUUCAGCUCUCUACUAACGAUACGAUCAAGCUACCAACUUGAGAGCCCCCCUUGAUAGUACGUCAAACGAUCCUAUAACUCAGUCUCCCAACUACCACCACAAGACCGGUAAAAUAGAAAACCUAUCAAGGGAAAAACUUUGCCUUGCACAUGGUCCACUUGAGCUUGAUGAAGACGAUCUUGACUCCCUCAAGUUGGACCACCUUUCUUGAUUGCGUUGGCUCGAUGAAGACUAGAUGAUUGCUCCCCCAUAAUUCACUAUGGGUGAGCCACUCUUCGGCACAUCUUCACAAGUCCAUUGACACCACAAUGGAUGGCAAGAUUCAAGCACUUGAUCUCUUCGUGAUGCUCCACUUGAACUUGCACACGGCAAUCUUGAUGACAAUCACCACUUGAUGUCAUCCUUUCCAUGGGUUGUAUGAUAUCUUCCUCUUGACGCAAGCCCAUGGAUACAUACCUAACCCCACAUACAACUCUCACAUAGACCAUGGGUUAGUACAUAAAGUGCAAUGGACAAUGCUUACCAUACCAUGGGAUCACUUGAUCCCUCUCGGUACAUCUUCUAUGCUUUGUGAGUUGAUCAACUUGAUUCACUAUUGACUUAGUCUUGAUCAACCUUGAAUCUUUGCAACUCUCUUCAUUUGGACGAUGUAUUGAAGGUAAACAUGAAUGAUCACACAACCUUCUUCUUCAAGACAUGCUUGCAAUAAGCUCAACACUCGCAUGAUCAAUCUUUGGAUAAUUCCUUAAUAGCACCUUGUUCAACUCAUAAACUCCUUGAAACCAACACAUGGACUUCAAGAAAAGCCUAUGGACAAAUCCUUCAAAUAUAACUCAAGACAACCAUUAGUCCAUAGAGAUUGUCAUCAAUUACCAAAACCAAACAUGGGGGCACCGCAUGUUCUUUCAGUGAUAAUAUUCGACGAUGUACGGACACCAAGAGAUGAUGUACUUUUGCUUAUAAUUAUUGAAUGCAUGCUAAUUUGAAUACUACUUUAUUUUAUGAUUUGGUUUUGCUUAUUUUAUGAUUUGAUUUUGCUUAUUGAAUGCUCAUAUCGGAUAAGUUCUCCUUCAUUCCCGUGUGCUAGACAAUUCGAUGUAAUAAUGCACUCGGGAAUGAAAGGAGGAGCUACGUACAUCACCGAUAGUCAACCCAUGAUUAAUAAUCUAGUUUAAUAUUAGAAUUAUGAACAUAGGCCGGAAAUGUCGUACUCGGACGACGAAAACCGUCCGGGGGAGUGCGACUAGUGCCACGACGACCGAGGUAUCUGCGACAGGUUCAUUGAGCUGGACGAAGAUCGUCGCUUCAGCAUUAAGCUCGAGGAGACCUUCGAUGUUCAUACGGUACGCAACCGACGACAAUAGUUUUUUUUGUAAUUAAUCAUGACUUCAACUAUUUUAAUCAUGACAACAUUUUUCAUCUUUUCCAAUUCGACUAGCUUAUCCCAUGCUUUGCAAGACGCUAUGUCUUGGAGAGGAUGGGUUUUAAAGACCAUGAAAGUUUCGAAACCAAAAACAUUAUCCUAAGUACCCAUCAUGGUGUGGAUUUUCAAGUAAAGUUGUACAAUGCUCAAAGUGUAACCCAUUUUGGUUGCAAAAAUUGGGAAGCACUUUGCAAGAUAUAUGGUCUUGAUGACGGUAUGCUUGUCACCAUGGAUCUUGGUGAUCCUACAAUCGAGCAAGAGAGACCUUAGAUUUGGGUCCUUGUGGAUACACCUCCAAUUCUUCCCCCAUGUGAGCUUAACAUAAUUAUUAAGUAAUUUAUAUUGUUUAUUUCAAAAUAGUUUACAACUUAUCUCCAUUGACAGCUUAUUUUCAUUCUUCAAAGAAUGUGCGAAAGAUGGUAGACAGAACCUACUACACCGAAGGCUCCGAAUUAACUUAUCAGGAGAAAAAUCAUCUGGUCGCAUUUUGGACUGAUCUUGAGAAUUACAAUAUCUACAAUCAAACUCCUCAACAUUAUGGUCAAUACGUGCCACUAGUGCACGUGUUGAACUACGGUAACUACCAUGGAGAUACCCUGGUAAGAUUAUUUUUUACUAUUACAACAUCUGUGCAUCUUUUUGCACACUUCUAAAACUAGUACAUUAUUGCUAACUACGAAGUUAUUACUAUGUUUUUCAACAGAUAAUCCCGAAUGAUUGUGUGCCUCAUCUGAUGUAUACGCAUGGUAGCCUUCAUGUUUUGAACAUACAACCAGGUCGUCCUACAAAUCUCAACUAUCCAUACCGGAUUUCUAAAAGAAGUGGAGACAUAACAAUCAAAGAAUGGAAAAAAUGUAUGGACAGUCGUAAGGAGCUUCUUGGAAGCAACAAGCAGCGAAGGGCAAGAAUUGGAGACAGGAUGAUCGCCAUUCUUCAUAAUGGAGAGUCAGGGUCUAUAUUGUUUUAUGCUAUUUUACCUUAAGGUUGUUUAGGUCCUACCUGAUACUAAUGAUCAUGUGCUAAGAACAAUUAUGUAGGGUUGGGUUCGAUGACUAUGAGGAUGAGGAUCGUAUGACUUAUUAUUAAUAACGAGUAGAAGUUGUAUGAUGAUGCAUGAUAUUAGUAGGACUUGUUAUUAUAUAUGAUGAUGUAUGAUGCGAGCAUGCAUGAGCAUGUUAUAUCAGCGGGUGAAAUGAACAUAGCAGCAGCGUUGAUAAACCAAGGACGAAGAUAUAAGAGAGGACACUUCUCUCUAUUAGCUAGCUAAUAACAACCUAAAAAUAACCCCCAAAACCCCUAAAGCAGCCACUUUUGGAAAAAAAAAGCAUGGACUUUUGGUCCCGGUUGGUGCCACCAACCGGGACCAAAGGCCCCCCUGACUGGGCUCGAUGGACCGGCCACGUGGAGGCACAUCUGUCCCGGUUCGUGUUUGAACCGGGACUAAUGGGUGGAGGUAUUUGUAACAACCCAUUAGUCCCGGUUCAUGAAUCGGGACUAAAGGCUCUUUCGAACCGGGACUAAUUGGUGUUUUUCUACUAGUGUACUAGCCAGCUCAAUUAGAUUAAUUGUUGUGUAAAAGGAAGCACGUCGCACUCUUUUGACCAUUCCACGAUGUUUUCUUUUUCUCUCUUCUUUGAGGAAUCUCCAUCACUCUCUCGUCCCCCUAUUUCUUUCUUAUUCGUAUUUAUCUUUACGUAAACACGCAAUGACGAUGAUUCAUAGGAAAUAAUCUUAGAUCGAGAAAGAAAUGUAUAAUCAAUGAUCUGAUUUCUGAAAAUGAUACUUUAGUGUGCACUUGAUUUGAGAGGGAUUGGGUAGAUUAGGAAUCUCCAACGUCUGUCCUCCCGCAUUUAACUUUUGAAGAAUGGACAAGAUGCACCAUCCCACAACAUGGUUAUUAUGUAGUUACCGGGCUAGAUGUACUAUAGUUACCAACAUGAUUACUAUGUAGUUAUCGGCCUAAAUGUACUAUAGUUAUCAACAUGGUUAUUACGGAGUUACCAUGCUCGAUGGACUAUAGUUAUCAACAUGGGCUACAUGCGGUAGAAUACACCCCCCCGGUAGCUUAUGUGUAAAUAGCAUGAUAAUUUACACAUCCCAGACCUGAUAACUCAUUCACAAACAUUGAUUACUUUUACCCGAGGAAAAAAAGUUGUUUGAAACCAUCCCCUCGUAGCUUAUGUGUAAGAAGCAUGAUAAUUUACACACCACGGACCUGAUAGACUAUGCACAAACACCGUGAUAAUUUUGACCUGAGAGAAAAAAGUUGUUAAGAACAUUUCUGAUAACUUACGCGUAAAUAAAAUGCUAAUGUAUGCACCGUAGAGUUGAUUAUUCACAUACAAAUGUCGUGUUUACUUUUUGAACCGGGUGAAAAAGUUGUGGAAAACAUACCCCGAUAACUUCUACCUAAAUAGCAUGGUAACAUACACACCUCGGCGUGAUAACUCACGCAAAAACACCGUGGUAACUUUGAUCAAGAGAAAAAGUAGUUGUUGAUACCAUACCCCCAAUAAUUUCCACGGAAAUAGCAUGUUAAUAUACUCAUUGCGGACAUGGUAACUUGCGCACAAACAUCACGACAACUUUUACCAAGAGAGUUUUUUGUUUGAAACCAUACCCUUGGUAAAUUUUGUGGAAAUAACAUGGUAAUAUAUGCACCAUAGACAUGAUAACUAAACAUACACCCGAUAAUUUUUGUGUAAAUAACAUGAUGAUGUAUCAUCGCAGACUUGAUAACUAAUAUUUUAUGUUUAAACACCAUGGUGUCUUUCAUCCAAGGGGAAAAAGUUUUUGAAACAUUUCACCGGUAAUUUCUAUGUUAAAUUAUCAUACUUUCCCAUGCUUUUAACCUUCUUGUACUGUAGUUACCAGCCUUAUCAUGGUAUAGUUAUCAUGUUACUCAGACCAUAGUUAUCACGCUGGUCAUUGCCAAAGUUACCAAGCCAAACUUUAUUUUUUCUUUUGAUAUGGCAGAAAUAAGAAAGGUUCAAAUAACAUUGUCAUUCUACAAAAGACAACAACAAAAGGUGGCUUAGUUGGUUAUUAGGCUCAAUAGGUAUUACAUAGACCUGGGUUUGAAUCCUCUUUCAAGCACUUUUAUUUUCUUUUCAUAUUAUGCAGCGAAAAACCAGAAAAAAUCACUAGCAAUUUACUACAAUUUUUGAGAGAAGGAAAAAAAUCAGUGGAAGCGGGAGAAACGACGCAGCGGGACGAGCUGAAGGAUCGAUCGAAGGUUGUGCAGAUGUGCGGAUCUGUUGCUAAUCACGAGUCGACUGAUGGUUAGCACAGUCCUUAUAAUAAUGAAAUACAUGGGUUUGGUCUAUUUUGUUUGGUUUUCGUUCCAUGCCGACAAUUCCAGCUUUCAUCUUCCAAAGCAAACAAGACGACUUUUGCAAGCGGAGAGAACGUGUUUCGGGGACUAUCCCCCGCACGUGUGUCAUCACUUCUACCUCGAGAACAAGCUGAGACGUGGCAUCCCGGACGCGUCCAGUAGCUGCACACGUCCGGCCUCUCUUUAAUGGGGAGUCACUAGUCACCGGCUCCCGCCGGCCAGCCCACUCAUGCCCGCACACGUAGUGCCUCCGGCGAUCAUAUCCCCUCGCCGCAGACGGCUUAUAAAUUGGGCCUCGUGCUGCACCUGCUUCCACAACCACAAGGUGCAGCUAAGUGAUCAAGUGAGCAAGACAACACACCAGAUUUCUAAGGGAAUCAAGAUCAGCAUCUGUGCAAGAUGGAGCACGGCCAGGCGACUAACCGCGUCGACGAGUACGGCAACCCGGUGGCCGGACAUGGCGUCGGCACCGGCAUGGGGGCGCACGGCGGCGUGGGCACCGGCGCGGCCGCUGGUGGGCAUUUCCAGCCCACGAGGGAGGAGCACAAGGCCGGAGGGAUCCUGCAGCGCUCCGGCAGCUCUAGUAGCUCCAGCUCGGUGCGUGUACAUACACUUCUUGCUUGUUGCUAACACUAGUUGUAAUUUGCAUUUUCCCGUUUAAAUGCAUCAACGACUGAAUUUUCUCGUUCGUCGUGAUAGUCUGAGGAUGAUGGCAUGGGCGGGAGGAGGAAGAAGGGCAUCAAGGGGAAGAUCAAGGAGAAGCUCCCCGGUGGCCAUGGCGACCAGCAACAGACCGCUGGCACCUAUGGGCAGCAGGGUCACACCGGAAUGACCGGCACCGGGGCGCAUGGUACAGCAGCCACUGGCGGCACCUACGGGCAGCAAGGACACACCGGAGUGACCGGCACGGGGACGCACGGCACCGACGGCACUGGCGAAAAGAAGGGCAUCAUGGACAAGAUCAAGGAGAAGCUGCCCGGACAGCACUGAGCGCGGCCCGCGGCAGCUACUUGAGAGUUGGGGUGCCGAGCUGGCCACCUUUGCAGAAUAAUAAGAUGGAGAUACAGUAGAACUUCCCGAAAUAAAGUGAGCUAGCUCACUCGUAAUAUCCGAGUUCUGAGUUUAGUGGACUUGAAUUUGGGUUGCUUGCUUGUAUUUGUAUGUACCCGGGACGUUUUGCACUCUGUACUUCGAUGUGUGAUUUUUUUUUGGUUGCAUUGUGUAUUUAUUAUAUGGGGAUAUACUGCAUUAUAUUUUGGUCUUUACUUGAGCUUUCUAUGUUAUUGCAUUUUUCGAAAUUUUGUGAGACAUAUUGUACAUUGCAUGGUAAAAUGUUUUAAGAGAAUUUGGAGCAUUCUAGGCAAUUG
rnacentral:lncRNA from 1 species